rnacentral:lncRNA from 1 species
UCUUCUUUUUUUUCUUUCUUUUUUUACAUCAAGCCCUCAUGUGGUAAGUAUCCCUUUAAUGAAUUUCCCUUAACAACUCCAACUUAGGCUUUUAGCCUCAACUUUCACAACCUUAAGUUCAAGGAAGAAAGGGUUCAAAAGAGGGUUACCUUUUCAAAAACGAUAAGACUUGUAAUGUGGUUACCAAUAAAAAGGAUUAGGCUCAAAGGGGACAACUAAGGAUAUAUUUAGCGCAAAGGUGGGAAUUUUAAGCCAAGUGGACUUCAAGAACAUCAAAGAAAGCCUAAGAUCAUUUGUCCAACCAAACUCAAUCAAGACCUACAUUUCAAGACCAACCGGGCAAGUUGUAGGUGACAAAAGCGAACACAAGGCAUUAUUCAACAACUCACCACACAUGGCAUGCAAAUCAAUCAAGAUGGUUCAAAAUCUUACUUCCUUUUCAAAAUACAAGUAGCAUUGAACAUUUUAACUGCCAACGAAUCAAAAGUCACAAAAAAAGUUGUAAGAGUUGUCACAAAAUCAUUUAUAACAUGCUCAACCUUUUAAAAACAAAGAGGUAUGCUUAACAUUAUUCACAUGUAUGACUAUGUUCUUAGUACCAACCAAGUCAAAACCUUCCCGAAAUGACGACGAUUUUGCCCUUAAGAAAGUCAUUAGCCAAUCCAUCAUCAGGCAACCUCAUGCAUCUAUUCGGGAAUGGCUACCCAAACUUCACCCUAAUCAACGCCAAUCAAACACUCACAAGCAAUCAACGAUUUAUCCUUAAGAAAGUCAUCACUCUCUAUCCAUCAUCGGGCAUCAUCAAUCCAAAUCUUGUUAUCAAAACAAAAACAAAGAAGCUACAAACUACAAAUUAAAAACUAAAAUAGACCAAUCCAAUGCAAUAUCAACAAAAACAUCCACAAUAUCAAAGUCCGACAAGGGCACACCAGUCCAUAACAAAGAAAGAAAAGUAUGCCUGACAAGGAUACAAUCACCAUAUGCAGAAAUAAUCAAUAAAAUGACUACAAGGGGAGCAUCCCCAACUGAAAAUGAGACUGUGUCCUUACUUCGGGACAAGUAAUCAUCAUAUUUUCGGGCCCAUUGUUACUAUAGGAACCUACUCUCAUCAAAAGUACUCUUUCUCCUCAAUUUUGCCUAUAGGAAAAUAGUCUAAUCUCUCAACCUCCCAAGGUAAGGAUAAGGUCGGUGUACACUCUACCCUCCCCACACCUCACUUUAUGAGAUGAUGUUGUGUACGUUGUUGUUGUUGUUGUUGUAGGUGAAAUCAAAUUCGAAACUUCAACAAUCCAAUUCCACUUCCCUAGAAAAUUCUAUACAAAUUAAAUCUAAAUCUCCAAUUACAAUUAAAAUUCAAAUAUAAAAAACAAGGAAACUUUUUUUAUGGGGUUUCUUACUUCAAGAACCUUGUUAUUUUGAGAUUUAUCCACACUUUUAAUCGCAAAAUACUCGAUUGUCAUCUUCUUUCUUCCUUUAUAUAGCAUCUGCAAAAGACAAAAAAAAAACAAAAAAACCCUAAACGACGCAAUCAACCUAAAGCGCAAACAAAAGAAGAACAAAGAAAGAAAAAAAACCAUUACCAGUGUCUUCCAUGGCCAAAAACUUCAUAUAUAUGAUACUGAUUCAUAUUUUUUUCACUUGCUCAUACAAAAUCACUUAGCAAGGGUUUUAACUCUUUUAGUCUGCAAAAAAAAACUUAAACAACACAGUUAACCUAAAAACGCAAACAAAAGAAGAACAGAGAAAGAAAAAAACCAAUACCGAGUGUUUCUGUGGCCAAAAGCUUCGUAUAGAUGAUACUGAUUCAUAUUUUUCACUGGCUCACACAAAAUCACUAAGCUAGGGUUUUUCCUCUUUUCCUGCAUCUGAAAUUGAAACUAAUCAAAGAGAUUAUUGAAGAAUUUCAUUGAAAUCGAUCAAAAAUUCUUCAUUGAAAUCAAGAAUUUCAUUUAAAAACGGCAAGAUUUGUGAGGAUGAGAAGAGAGUGUAUGUGUGCAACAGUACGAUAGGGGUAUAUUGAAAUGAAAUGAAAAUUAUUUUUCUUUUAGAGAAAAGGAAAUUUAAAAAAUUAGAAUAGGGGGCAAAAAAAGUAUAUUUUGUUUGUUUUAUAAUUGUCCACUAAUUAGUGUACUAAAAUUUGCAUCCAUAAAUACAUUUUUAGUUGAUUAAGGUAUAAUAUCUAAUUUGAAAACAAUUUUACUUCUAUUUUUUAGUUUUACGAGAUAAAUAUGCUUUAUAUUAUAAAAAAAAGUUAUUUUAGUUAUUGAAAAAUGAGCAUGUUUGAUCAAAUUUUUGAAAUAUGUUUAUUUAAAAUAUAUUUUUGGUCAAAUAGAAUUUCAUAACUAUUUUAUUUGGGGAGAGGGAGAAAGUAGGGAUGGAAAUUGGGCGGUGUGGGGUGGUGGUGGCAAUUGGACGGUGUGGGGCGGGGUUGGGGUGGGUUGAGAAAGUAUGUCCAGAAGAAGGCAAGGCCAAAAGAUAAAGUAUAUGAUUAUAAAGUGGGUUUAGAGUAUGCUAGCUACUUAAUGACGCAUACAAUAUAGGUUGGAUUUGCAAUAAUACAUUCAUACUUGACAUUUAUCGGGUCGGCAAAAUAACAAAUUAAGGCUUUGUUAUUUAGCUAGCGUUUGGCCACAAAUUUUUAAAUAUUUUUGAUAAAUAUUUUCGGGUGAAGUUUCAUUAUGCGUUUUACCAUAGAUUUUGAGAGAAAUAUUUUACUUUUAAAAAAAAUAUGAAUUAUACCUAUAAGUUUUAGAAACUAUUUAAAAUACCCAUGAUUUUUUAUUAUCAUUUUAUAAUGAAAAUGUUCAACGAAAAGUCAUGACAACGAACAUAAUGAAUAUGAAUUUGAAAAAAAGAGGAAAAAUACAAAAGGAAAAUACCAUUGAUUUUAUACAAAAAAAAAACUACUAUUACAACAUGUAAUUGGAAGUAAUUUCGGAGAACACGUUCAGAUAAAAUUGUAUAAAAUAUGCGAAAUAAAAUUUGUACAACAAACAAGGAAUGAAAUUUAGUCUUUAUAAAAUAUUAAAACAUGGGAUAAUUUUUAAAUUUUUAUGAUUCCAAUUUUCCCAUGUUUGGUUGGCUUAAAUAUUUUGAAAAAUGUUUUCCAAAUCAACUCAUUUUCCUCAAAUUUAAGGAAAUUGACUUUCCAUAAAAAAUUAAGAAAAAUAUUUUCCAAAACUCUACUUCAUCCUUCAAUAUAUUUUUCUUACCCUACCCCGUACCCUAUCCCCCUAUCCAAGAAAAAAUAAUUUAGUUUAAAUUUUCUUAUUUUUUAAAUUUCAUAUAUUUUUACCCCCUCCCCAAACCAUUCCCCCCUCCCCCUAACAAAAAAAAUAAAAUAAAAAUUUUGAAAAAUAUUCCAAGUUUUAAUUUUUUUUUUUACCUCACUCAACCCCUACCACCUAUGCCCUCUCCUCCCACAACAAAAUUGUUUUGGUUAAAAAUUUCAAAUUUUUAAAAAAAUCAUUUUUACGCUCACCUCCCCCCCCCGACCCCCCAAAAAAAAAGUUCAUAAAAAUAUAGUUUGGUAUGAAGGAAAACAUUUUCUGGAAUUGUUUUCUAAUUUUUCCAUGUUUGGUUGACUUAAAUAUUUUGAAAAAUGUUUUUCAAAUGAACUCAUUUUCCUCAAAUUUAAGGAAAAUGACUUUCCUUCAAAAAUUAAGAUAUUAUUUACGUUCAUUACAUAAUACAUAAUUAAUUUAAGAUUUUCAGGUAUAGACUUGUCAAUGAACUGAUUUCAUAAGCUUAACUUUAUCAACAACAAUAAAAAAAAUUAAUAAACUUAAUCGUCAAAUAUAAGGUCGUGCACUUAGGAAAACAAUUUCAGUGUCACAAAGUAUUGCACAAAUUUGUGCAUAGCAUGGUCUAUAGGGUGACACAUAGAGAUGACUUCUUGUACCCACCGUAAGCCAUAUGGAUGGAUGCCAUUCUUGACAUGCAAACAACCCGAAGUAAACAAAUAUUGUCUGAAGGAUCAUCCUCGGGCCUCAGGGAAGGCCCUUAUUCAAAGAAGAGAAUUAUGGGAGUUGCUAGACUAUCAACCUUUAUAUCCAUUUAAUCCAAUCCAAAGAAAAUAUAAAUCUUAUUUUUAUAAGAAACGGAAGAGGAAAAGGAUGUAUGAUAUCAACAUUUCCUACCUAUUGUUGAAUAAUUCUAGAGUUUCACUAUGAGUUGAGUUAGUAAUUACAAUCUGAUAACAAUAAAUCAAAUUUUGAAACAUAUGCGAAAUAGAGGAAACACUUUUCUCCUCUGACAGAAAGUACACCAGCCAUGAGAUCACUAUAACCGAAUAUGAACUUAGUAGCUGAAUGCACCACAACAUCUACAAAACCACAGACAAGUAAGUUAACAUUCAAUGCAUGUUAUUGGUGAGUAAUCCAGUUAGCAAAACAAAAAGUGUUUGAAAAAUACCUACUCUGAGCUCCAAGGAUGGGACAGUACUAUGGAGAUAAUAUUGUUAUCUACUAGCACAAGAGCCCCAUGUGCAUGAGCCAUCUUGACAAUUUUCAGUGAUAACUCAGAAGAGACAACAGUAUGAGACAAAAAAUCAUUAUCUUUUGAAGAUUUAUAUAUAGCUAUAUAUUAGCAACAUUAAAAGAUGAAAAUUGUACGUGCAUAAUCUACAUAUGCCACUGUCAAUAACCCAUAUUAAUAUCACAAAUUUGUGUAUUGGGGUUGGUUGGACUUUCCAGCCAAACAUGAUUUGCCCAUGGUUUAAUCACAAAAGCAACCUCAUCUUAAGUUAGUGGUAUCCACUCGCCUGUACAAAUAAGAUAACAAUCAAGAUUCUAAUAACCUAAUGGAAAACAAAGUUACAUCGACAAUAAAGAUUCUAAUCACUAUUCCCUCCGCGUUGGUGAAAGAGUGUUGUGUUAGUGGACGUUCUGGGUACGGGUUGGCUUACCUACUUGUGGGUUAUAGUAGGUGCCAUCGUGACUCGGGAAGUCAGGUCCUGACACAAAUAUGCUUUAGUUGAGUUGGAUAUGAAACAGUCCAACACACUAUCUCCUCGUCUUUCUGUUAGUUUUAGAGUAAGGCUCCAUGUCUAGGUUAUUUUGCUUAUGCUUCUUAUUCGUUGUUCAGAUUUCCCCUAUCCUUGAUUGUGCUAGUGUCAAGUAAGAUAUGCUUCCAUCUCUUUAUGUUACUCAUUCUUAAGGUUUGCUAUUAGAUGUGGUAUUCAAAGAGAAACAAGGCUUCACACAUUAUUUACUUUCAAUAUGCUAUACAUAACUGACUAAAGAUUUUUAGAUAUAGACUUGUCAAUGAACUGAUUUCUUAAACUUUCCUUAACUUUAUUAACAACAACAAAAAAAAUUCUUAAACUUCAUGGUCAAUUAUAUUUCAAUUAGAAUGUAAUUAGGAUAAUCAUCAGAUUACCUGGAAAGGAGUUUCUCCGCCAGUUUAAGCAGAUUUGCCAACUGUUUCAGAACCUAAUGACUAGCAACACUUCUUUUUAGUGAAUCGUACCCAAGAAGAUGGAUAACAACAGGAAAUAAAUGCAUACUAUUCUUAGAAUAAUUUUGACUUGUGACGCUAAUUAUCUGCCCACGAUGUUUACCACCUUUUAGUUGCUGAAUGUCCCUAGAUAUACACUCAAUCAAACUUGGUACAGUUGAUGCGGCAAUCAUCCCAAGGGCAUCUAAACACUACUUAACAACGUCAUCCUUCUCCUUAACCAACCUAUCAACGGUUGAGAGGAAUUUAGCAUUGCAAAAAAAUAGUGGCAGCCACCUGUUCCCAUUCAUACAAAGUAGAGCCACAAAUCUGAGUGCCUUUCCCUUCAAAACUUCACUUCCCUGCUCAAUUAGAGUCAACAGAUUCAAAAAAAGAUUCUUGUCUUCGACUAAGGCAAGAAGGGACAGUGUAUCACUUUCAAGGAGGGUCAUGUUCAGAAUGUUUAAGCAGAUUUGUUGCUCUCGUAGAUUAUGCUUGACGAGUCUUGAAAACAUAUCCUUGAAUGAAAGUUAUUCCAUGACUCGUUGAAUAAGGGUUAAAAUGAACAAGACGAGCCAAGUAAGACCCUGUUGUUAGCCUCGUGAUCUCCUGCUUUCCAAGAGCCCUAAAUAUGUAUCAGAGGUUAGUCAUGAUAUCUUGGAUGGUGAAAUGAGCUGACAAUACCCUCCUUGACUGAAGAUAUUUUCAAUAGUCCUUAGAGCAUAAAUUUGAGUAAUAUUAUCCUCUCCGUUUCGUAAAAGCGAUGAAACCAAUGAAAUUAAUGGACUUGGAACCUAUAACAUUAACAUUUCUAGUAAGGAAUGUUAAGACAUAAUGUGAGGCUUUGCAAUAUGUAAAGAUGGUACAGAUGCUGGUAUGAUUUUAUCUUUUUUUUUUUACAACCCCAAGAGAAAUAUCUUAACACAUUUGUUUAUGAUUUUAUCUGAUAUAUAGUGUUGCACCUAUAAGAAGUUACAACAACAAAGAUACCUGCCAAUAGGAUGAGGGUCGGUUGUCCUUAGAUGGAGAUUCCAUUGGUUUAUUAUCCCGAGCAUGUUCAUUUUGAGUAGAUAUAUAAAAUAGUAAUUCACCCAAAGCAGCCAUGGAAAACCUUCUCACUUUCUCUUGCCUGUCUCUCAGACCAUCAGUUCGUGCACCUAAUAUUCCAAGAUUUGCCAGCUCAUCCCCCAAAAAAGUAGAGUGAUGAAUCAACAAGCCAAUAAGUGAAGCAAGUUAAGCAUGCAACAGAGAAACCUUGGGGUCACGAAGCAUUUUGAGUAGAACCAAUACAAUAGACCCAUUGGUCAAGAUGUUGGCUACAACAGCAUUGCUGCUCAAAAGCUCAAGGUAUUUGAUCACAUUUUGCUUCUCCCCUGAGGGAGUAUUCCCCCACUAACAAUACUGAUGAGUCUACUAUUCUAAUUGCACUUUUAACAUUUGGACAAAAAUCAGACAGUUGAGGUGCAUCAAAUGAAACUGAAGGAUUUGCAUCUAAACCUUUAUCUGAUUUUCUGCUAGAAAUUAUAGGUCUGACUGAGAGAUCAGAUGGAUAACGAAUAAUAUUUGAAAGGUUCGUAGAUGGUUUUGAGAUAUCAGAGAAAUCAUAUUUUUAUAAGAACUAAAAGAGGAAAAGGAAGCAUGAUUGAACUUUAACGUCAUAUAAUUGGUCAAAAGCACUUCUAAACAGUUUUUCUUUAAUGAACUUCCAAACAGUUAUACCACCAAUUUAACUUUUCCUUUGUUCAUUUUAGGGCAAAAAUGAGGGGAGAGAGAGGUGAACUACCUGGGAGGAAGGUUUCUUUUAUAUAUCACACAAUUUUCUUGCUAAUCCAAAAUCACACAGCUGCCAGGAAACAAAUAGAACUUCAACGUUAUAUAACUGGUCAAAAGCACUCAUCGUGGAAAAGUCACAACAUAAAUAUCACCAUACCUUUGUGAUUCCAUUUUCAUCCAACAGGAUGUUUGAUAGCUUUAAGUCACAGUAAAUUAUUCCCUUUGAAUGCAAGUAUCUGGUACAGUAGACAAAACACCAAAAAAGUAAUUCAUGACGAAAACAACAAGUGUUACAAAAGAACAAAGAAGGCUAAAGUUACUUACUUACAAAAGAGCUCUAACAAGGCCACAAGCAAGUUCAUGUAUUGAAUAUUCAGGAAGCUUGCCAUCCUUCAACCAGAGAUUUAAUGAUGUUAAAAAUCUCCUAGGUAUGGUUUAAACUAAAAUACAGGUAAGAUGAUGAAGAUGCAAGUUGUGACAUUACCAACUACAGUAAACUGUGGUCAUUUUGACUACUCUUUAAAUACAAUAAAAAAGAAACCUAUUUCUUUAACAUCAUUUUACUGGCACAAGAAACAAGUUAGUCCAAAGAGUGAGAACCUUUAUUUGUGAGACUACAAGCAAUCAUCUCUGUUAAAGUGUUCAAUCGCACAUGACACUGAUGUCCUUAGUGCCUGUUUGGGAAAUCCCAAUGUAGGCAUGCAUUAAAUUUACCAUGAAACCUCAAUAUCUCACACCUCUACUAGAAAAAGACCAAGAAUAAUUAGGGUGUUGUCACAAAUUUUUGAUGUUCGUGUGUAAUGUCGGCAUAAGGAAUCCUCUAUUCCAACAUAGUAUGUAUACCUCUAGAACAAUGAAAUGUAUUUGUAAGAUAGUAGACCUGCCAGUGCUUACUUGCUGCAACAAGCUUAUGAGAUUUCAUCCAACACAAUAUUCUAAAACCAACCACAAGUGUGGAAAUGUUUCAUACCUAUGGAUCGGUUGAAUUAAAAAUAAGUCAGAGAAAUCUUCUUAUUAAACACCAAAAUUAUCUUUAACACAGAAACGUAAUUGAAGAAAAAGAAAGGAAUUAGAUGCAAGACAGGAAAAAAAAAUAUGAUCAUUUGUUCACGAGACUUCAAAUUUAUGCCACGGAAUAAGAAAACUGUGUUAUCCAGUAACAUAACAUUUUCCCUCUAUAUCUAUUCCUCUAAAAAAGUUGACUACAAUUAAAAAUCAAUAGUAUUAUGAAGUUCACAAAUUUCUAAGUGAGCUAUUGGGUAGCUAAUAAAUUUUGCAGAUUGGUUCCCAAUUAAAUCAUAAAUUCUCAUCUUCCCAAUAGGGUGGCUUAGCAAUCAAAUAGAUCAAGUAACAGCUUGGGAACUAAGGUUCAAAUUUCACAAUAGACAACACAAGGUGAUAUCUUAUCAUCCACCUAAAUCUUGAUGUGCAUAGUUAAACAGAUAGUACUAUGUACUACAAUACAUGGUGUCCCAGAUACCAUUGUUAUCAAGAGGAUAAAUUAGGCACUUCCACAAUUUUAUCAUCGGAGGUGCAAGCAAAUACAACUAAGGGUCUAUCAAAAACAGUUUAAUCUCUUUUCCUCCCAAGGUAAGGAUAAGGUCAAUGUAAACUCUACCCUCCUCAAACCCCUUUUUAUAACAUUAUGUUGUGUACGUUGUCGUUGUUGUUGGAGGUGAAAUCAAAUUCAAGCAUGAAGUUCUAGUUCCCUCCGCCAUAUUUGUUUUCAAAAUGAGAACCUUGUAAAUAAAACAUGAAAUAGUAAUAACAGAAUGAACAUGCAUUAGACUUGGAGAAAACUGCCUUUAGUAAUUUCAGAUUCAUUGAUUUCCACUUCUUCUCUUUCAGUCACAGUGAAGCUCUCCACUUUCUGUUGAUGGCUUUUGAGCAUUUUUGGCAGUAAGUUCUUGUUCCUUCCUCUGAAUGUCAAAUUUAUUCAACUUUUCUUCAAACUCCUCAUUGCAUUUUCAACUAUUGGCCUCUUUUUGCCUCAAGUUCACUUGGUUUCUUCAAAUAUCCUAAAUCAACUCUCCAUUUCAUUUUCAUGCAAAAAUGAAAAAAACCACGUUAAAAGCACCAAUUCUAAACUAAAGCAAGCCAAAAUAACUACCAAAAGAGCCUCAAAUGAGUGGAACUCCACCACUCAUCAGCACCCCCAACUUCGAAACCUUGUUGGUACUCAAGUAAAGAAAAUAAAAAAUACAAGAGGCUCUUAUUUUAAGACACACUACAAAUCAAUUUCCCUUUCUCAAUUAAGCACAAAGGAAUCAUUCAACAACUCAAUGCACAUGGCCUGCAAAUCAAUCAAGAUGGUUCAAAAUUUUACUUCCUUUUCUAAAUACAAGUAGCAUUGAAUAUUUUAACCGCUAACGAAUCAAAAGUCACAAAACGAGUUAUAAGAGUUGUCACAAAAUCAUUCAUAACAUGCUCAACCUUUUAAAAAUAUUAUUCACAUGCAUGAAUAUGUUCUUAGACCGAACCAAGUUAAAACAUUCCCAAAAAGACGACAACUUUUCCCUUAAGAGAGCUGUCAACCAAUCCAUCAUCAGGAAGUCUCAUGCAUCUAUUCGGGAACGGCUACUCAGACUUUGCCCUAAUCAACACCAAUCAAACACUCAUAAGCAAUCAACAAUUUACCCUUAUGAAAGUCGUCACCCUCUAUCCAUCAUCAGGCAUCGUCAAUUCAAAUCUUAUUAUCAAAACAAAACCAAAUAAGCUACAAACUACAAAUAAAAAACUAUAAUAUACCAAUCCAACACAAUAUCAACAUAAACAUCGACAAUAUCAAAGACUGACAAGGGAACACCAAUCCAUAACAAAGAAACAAAAGUACACCCGAUAAGGAUACAAUAACAGUAUGCAGAAACAAUCAACAAAAUUAUUACAAGGGAGGCAUCCCUAACUGAAAAUAAGAUUGUGUCCUCACUUGUGGCCAAGUAAUCAUCAUAUUUUCAGGCAUAUUUUUCCUAUAGGAACCUGCUCUCAUAAAAAACACUCUUCCUCCUCAAUUUCUGGAGCCAUUUCUUAAUCAUUCAAAUUGGUUUCGAAAGCCAUUUUUAGUUCAAAACACCUACAAAUGAAGCCAACAUGUCAAAAGUUCUUGUGGACACUUAAAAAGUGUAUUAGGAAGUAUUUAAUCCAAAGAAGUAAUCAAAAGAAGGUCCGAACUGAGCUAUGCGAAGCUACUAUUUUGGGCUUGCCAUCACUGUCCUCCGUGUUCACUGAGGAAUGUCACGUUACUUGUCGUUCUGGGUACAGGUUGGCUGAUCUACUGGUGGUUUAUAGUAGGUACCAUCGUGAUUCGGGAAGUUGGGUCGUGACACAAAUAUACUUUAGUUGAGUUGGAUAUGAAACAAUCGAACACACUAUCUCCUAGUCUUUCUGUUAGAUUUAGAGUAAGAGGCUCGAUGUAAAUGUUAUUUUGUUUAUACGUCUUAUUGAUUGUUCAGUUUUCCUUUAUCCUUGAUUGCCCUAGUGUCAAGGGAGAUUGCCUAUACAUCCACCUCUUUAGGCAUUGUUCAUUUUGAAGGGUUCUUAAUAGAUAUGGUAUUCAAAAAGUUGUUCUUUGAUGCUUAUAUGGUUUUCAUCCUCUAUAGAAUAUGGUUUUUGUCUUGCCAAAGCAAAAGAAUAGUUGCACGUUUACUAUAAUCAACAGGAAAAGAUUGAGAAGGUAAAUGUCAUUAGGAAGUAAUUUGAUAGGAACAAAUUAUCUUAGAAAAUAGUAUUUGAGCAUAAGAUGAAACUUACCAAAAUUUACUAUAAUGCUGAAAUACUUUGUAGCCCCAACAACUUGCUUAAAGAGUGCCAAAGAACCUGUCAGAAAACUCAGCACCGAUCCUGCACUCAUAGCCUGCAAAUUGAUCAACAUUUAAGCAGUAAGUUUCGAGGGAGAACUUCAUGGUGGCAGGAUACCGACAACCAUAGCGCCUUAGUUCAAAUUCCCAAAAAAAUCACCUGUUCAUGAAGACCUGCAUAUUUGACCUUCUUCACUUGUGGAUGGGAAGAUAAAUAUUUAGCAAUUUUUUGUGCAUUCUCCUGCAAGAUAUUGAAAUUAUUUAGUUAGAACAUUGUGAUAUGGCAGAAUUUACGAACCAUCUUAACUUCUCAGCACAAUAUAAUGAUGAAGAUGCAACAAUAUGCAUGCCAUAAUCAUGAAAAUCUAUAGGAUCAAGAAUAAUAGAUUGACAAAGGCGCAGGAAGGCACAUAUGAUUCUAGAACGAGUGGUGGGAUACUAAUUUCACCACUAAAAAAAAGAAAAGAAAAUUAAACUUGUUGUUUUUUCAACACGAAGAGCCAUUGUUUUAAUUCCUCUCAAACAAAGACAACAAUUGAAUGGCGCUAACCCUACACCUUCAAUAUUUUGUAGGAAGUACAUCUCCUUUGCUAAGAUUGUUAAGUACAAAAAUUUAUAAGAAAAUUAUUAGAAGGACACUUGACAUGUUCGAAGAGAAACAAGACAUCAGACAUUAUUUACAUUCAAUACGCUAUACAUAACUACUAAUUUUUUUCAAAUAUAGACUUGUCAAUAAACUGAUUUCUUAAACUUUACUGAAUUUUAUCAACAACAACAAAAGAAGUUAUUAAACUUCAUGGUCAAUUAUAAGGGCAACAAUGCAUUCAGGAAAAGAAUUACAGUGUCACUAAGUAUUGCACAAAUUUGUGCAUUGCAGGGUCAAUAAGGUGCUGCAUAGAGAGGACUUCUUGUUCACACCAUAAGCCAUAUGGAAGGGAUCCAUUUUUGACUUGCAUACAACCCUGAGCAAGUAUACUAAGAUUGUACGAAGGCUCAUCCUCGGGCCUGAGUGAAGGCCCUUAUUCAAAGUAAAGAAUUAUGGAAGUUGCGAGAUUAUCGUCCUUUAUAUCCUUUUAAUCCAGUCCAAAGAAAAUAGAAAAUUUAUUUUUAUAAGAAAUGGAAGAGAAAAAGGAAGCAUGAUUUCAGCAUUUCCUACCUGUUGUUGAACAAAUCUAGAGUUUCACUUUGAGUAUGGUAACUGAUCAUUGCUAGAGAAAUCAAUAAUCGGUCUACUUACAAACUCACAUUCACUAUAGUCAAACUCCUAAUGUAAUUAUUGGUUUAGGCAAUCAAAAACGACCAGAGAAAACUAAGAAUAUACAAUCAUAAGAUAACAAUAAAUCAAAUUUUGAAAUGUAUGCGAAUUAGAGGAAAAACCUUUCUCCUCUGACAGAAAGUACACCAGCCAUGAGUUCACUAUCACCAGAUAUGAACAUAGUAGCUGAAUGCACCAAAAUAUCUACAAAACCAUGGACAAGUAAUCUAACAUUCGAUGCAUUUUAUUGGAGAGUAUUCCAGUUACCGGAACAAAAAGUAUUUGCAAAAUACCUGCUCCGAGCCCCAAAGGAUAGGACAGCACUGGGACAUAAUGUUGUUGUCUACCAGCACAAGUGCCCCAUUGCAUGAGCCAUCUUGAAAAUUUUCUAUGAUAAAUCAGAAAAGACAAUAGUUUGAGACAAAAAAAUCAUUAUCUUUUGAAGAUUAAUAUAUUACUAUCUAUCAGCAAUAAAAGCUGAAAUUUGUAAGUGCAUAAUCUACAUAUGCUACUAUCAAUCACCCACACGAAUAUGACAAAUUUGUUGAUGAGGGUUGGUUGGACUUUCAAUCCAAACAAGCUUUGUUCGUGUUUAAUCACAUAAAGUAACCUCAUGUAAGUUACAGUGGUAUCCACUCGCCUGUACAAAUUAGAUGACAAUCACGAAUCUAGUAACCUAAUUGAAAACAAAUUACAUCGACAAUAAAGAUUCUAAACAAUGUCUCAUCCGCAUUCACGGUGGACUGCCGCAUUACUUGUCAUUUUGGGUAAAGGUUGGCUUACCUACUAGUGGGUUAUAGUAGGUGUCAUCGUAACUCGGGAAGUUUGAUAUGAAAUAGUACAACACACUAUCUCCUCGUUUUUCUAUUAGAUUUACAGUAAGGGAUCCAUGUCUAGGUUAUUUUGCCUAUGCUUCUUAUUGGUAGUUCAGUUUUCCCCUAUCCUUGAGUGCACAAGUGUGAAGCCCGAUGGCAAUGAAAACACAAAAUUGCUUUGAUACUUAUAUGGCUUUCAUCCUUUAUAGAAUAUGGUUUCUGCCUUACCAAAGCAAAAGAAAUAGUUGCACGUUUACUAUAAUCAAUAGGGAAAAGAUUGAGAAGGCAAAUGUCAUUACAAAGUAGUUUGAUAGGAAAAAAUGAUAUUACAAAAUAGUAAUUGAGCAUAAGAUAAAACUAAACAAAAUUGAUUGUAAUGCUAAAGUACUUGGUAGCCUCAGCAACAUGCUUAAAGAGUGCCAAAGAACCUGUCAGAAAACUCAUUCUGAUCCUGCACCCCUAGCCUGAAAAUUGAUCAACAUUUAAAUAGUAAGUCUCAAGGGAGAGCUUCAUGGUGGCAGGAUAUCGACAAGCAUAGCGCCUUAGUUUAAAUUCCCAAAAAUCACUUGUUUGAAUACCUCAGAGAAGUGGAGUGGGUUUGUGAGCCUAAGGCACCACUUCCCAACUCCACGGGCAGGACCAUGGCUCGUGGAGUGGCUCAUGGUGCCUAGACGGGAUUCACUAAAUGAGGGUCUUUUAAGGAAUUUCCUUUUUAGUCCAAUUAAAGUGGGGUUGUUUUAGGUAUUUUUAGGGGAAGUAUAUAAGUUGAUUUUAAGUCAAAAUUCAUUAUUUUAAGUCAUACUACCCCAACACCCAAAUCAAAUCAAACACUUCCUCCUCUCUCAAUAUUUCUCUAUCUAAGCUCAAGGAAGAAGAAAGAGGCAUUGGAGCUAGGGUUUGUAGAUUUUAAAGGUUCUUCCCCAAAUAUCUUGGAGAUUCUUAAUUGAGGUAUGGAUGCUUUUCAUCUUUGGGUAGCUAUCCCCCAAAGAGCCACUUCAAAUUAUGUUUUCAAGAUUUCAAAUCCCCCAAACCUAGGGUUUUCAAUCUAUGAAAUGUUACAUUGUUUAAUUAUGGUUUAUUAUGGUUGAUUAUGAUGAUUUAUAAUGGGAAUGUUGAAGUAUUGUUGGAUUUUGAUGAAAAUCUCCCUUGGACCCAUGAUUUCCUCUUCUUCCUAAAUUGUGAACUAUGUAUGGCUUGAUUGAUGAUGGUAGCAUGACAAUUGAUUAUGUUGUUGAAUCAUGAUAUCUCUCUAUCUAGUAUGGUAAUUCUAGAAGUUAGGGUUAAUCUUGAUUCUUAGCCUUGAAGGGCAAUUUGUUAGGGUUUAUAUAUGUUGAUGAAUAUUGUAUAUGAACUUGUGAUUCUCUUAGAUAGUGAUGAACCUAUAACUAAUGUGUAAUUGUGGUAUUGACGCAAGAUCCUUCAUCCCUAUACCUUUACACUUGAUUAUGCAUGAAGUAUGUACUAGUUGGUGAUUGAGACAAGGUCUAGAUUCUUAUUUUCAUUUAGGGCUAACCCAUUGGUGGCCCCCUAAAGUUGGCAUCAAUUUUCACUGAGACAUCUUAACUAGGCUUUGUUCAUUUAGACACCUCAUGUAAGGCCCUGAUAUGUCAGUUUGACACUUUUUUUACAUUCAGCAAAAAUAUGAUGGUGAGUGUGUUCCAAUCGUGAAUGAUGUGUAAAGUGUCUAAUUAAAUGAGGACACUUGUCAUUUUGUUCAAAAUAAUUCUUAAAUAAUAAACUAUCAAUUAUAAAAAUAAAAAUAAAGAUGGCCAAUGGAUCGGUGACACGUGGCUUUUUUUUUCCAAAUAAUAACAAAAAAAGGAUUAAAUCACCUUAACAAAUCUUUAAGAGAAACAUCUCCCACUUCCACCCCCACCCCAUCGUGUUCUUCAACGUUGGAGAAACAAGCAUAGUAGCACACACCCCUUAAUUUUCUAUCAUAUACCCAAAAUUUUCUCUAUCUCUUUUACUUAAAUAUUGUUCAAUCCUACUUUAGUGAACUUGUGUAACUCAAUUUUUUUCAAAUAAAUGCAUCUCCACAAAUUUUAUUGCUAAAAGAGAAUUUUACAGUUUUUAUUGCUAAAAAAAAUAAAGUCUAAGAUCCAAUGAACUUUUAAAAUACAAAUGUGUACGUGUUCAUAUCAGAUUGUUAAGUUUCUUUUAAUGGGAUUAUCUCAUUUUUAGUGACUUUUUAUUCAUCCCCAACUUUUCAUUUUUUUCUUCAAGUUUCAGUCUUUUUUUCUCAAAUUAAAUUGAUGAAGAAGGGCAGCAUCCUUGGGAAAUCUUGGGGAAAGCUCUGUUUGGAAUUAGAUUCCACAGUUGUGGCAUCAUCAAAUAUAUUUUACCAUGGAAGAAGUUCAAGUUUGAGAAAAUGGUGGUUGAAAAUAUGGGGAAGAAGAAGGAAAUAUAAAAUAAAAAUUGGCUAAAAAAGAGCCUGACGCGCGGUUAAUGAGUGGGUCAGACUCACUAUGCCAUAUCAGCAAAAAGUGUCAAAAUGAUACAUCAGGAUCUUAUAUGAGGUGUCUAAAAUGAACAAAGUCUAGUUCAAGUGUCUAAGUGAAAGUUCAUGCCAACUUUUAGGAGCCACCGAUGGGUUAAGCCUUUCAUUUAUGAAAAAUAAAUUGACUUCGAUUGUAAAAGUUUUAAAUUUUUCCGCAUUAUUCUAUGACUUAUGUGUAUGAUUAUGCUAAGGUCUUGUAUGCGACCCCUUCAGGGUCAAGUACAUUGUGUUACGUCUAGGGGGUACCCCUGGGUCGUGACAAACUUGGUAAUUAGAGCACAAGAUUUAGAAUGAUUCUAGGAUUGAUGUCUCAUGAACCAUGUCUAGUAGAGUCUUGUUCAUGAAUGUGAAGCGCGCCACACUUAUGAAUGAGAGGCUAUAAGUUGUUUAGGAACUUUUCCUUCUUUCAUUACUCUUUAGUCAUGCUUUAGAGUUUUAACUCUAUGAAGUCCUUUUUCCUAACCCUUUUCUUGUGUAUAUAGCAUAUGAAUACUAGAAGGGGAAAUGCAAGAAGGAGGGAAGAGGAGAUUGUGAAUGAGGGAGUUCCUCCCCAAGGUCCUCAAGAGCCUCAAGUUCCUCAAGCUCCUAAUAAAGAGGGGGAUAUGACCAAUGUGGAGAGAAGGACAACUCUCCAAACAUUGACUCAUGCUUUGACGGCUCAAGUCACAAGGAUGCUAGAGUUCAAGUGAACCCCAAUGUAAGUACAACCGAUUCAAGGUUAGGGAUUUCACAAGAAUAAAUCCCCCAGUGUUCUAUGGCUCCAAAGUGGAUGAAGAUCCAUAAGGGUUUAUUGAUGAAGUGCUUAAUGUGCUUAAUGAUAUGAGAGUGUCUUCCCAAGAGAAGGCAGAACUAGCCACCUACGAAUUGAAGGAUGUGGCUCAUGUUUGGUUUGAGCAAUGGAAGGAUGAGAGACCCAUAAGAGCGGGCCCGAUACAUUGGGGAUUGUUCAAGUCAGUCUUCCUUGAUAGGUUUUUUCCUCUUGAGUUGAGGGAACGAAAAAUGCAAGAAUUCAUCAACCUUCAACAAGGAGGAAUGACUGUGAAGGAAUAUGGCCUUAAGUUCACCCAAUUGUCUAAGCAUGCUCCAACUUUAGUGGCGGACUCUAGGGCCAAGAUGAACAAAUUUGUUAUGGGGUUAUCCGACUUGGUGGUCAAUGAAUGUCGUUCGGCUAUGCCUAUUCCAAGUAUGAAUAUUGCACGUCUUAUGGUUUGUGCCGAACAAAUUGAGGAACAAAAGCUGAAGCAAGUGAAUAGAGAAGUAAAGAGGGCAAGAGUCGAUGAUGGAAAUUCUUUCGAGGGUAAAUUUGAGAUUCAAGGUAAACCAACGUUCAAGAAGAGGUUUUCCAACCAAGGCUCUUCAAGUGCUCCAAAGGGAAACAAAGAUAUGGUGUCUAACCCUAAGCCUCAAGGAGGUUGUAGUAGUGGUUCUUAUGUUGAGAGAACUACUUGUGCCAAGUGCGGCAAAAAGCAUGAUGGCAAGUGCUUAGUUGGCAUGGAUGGUUGCUUUAGUUGUGGAAAGAGCGGCCAUAUGAAGAGAGAUUGUCCCAUGCUAAAGGUUCAAGGAAGAGAGGGCAAGCAGGCCCCUCCUAGUGGUUCAAAUUCUGAUGCUCCCAAGAAGAACCGCUUCUAUGCUCUCCAAUCACGAGGUGACCAAGAGAGCUCUUCGGAUGUUGUAACGGGUAUGUUGCAAGUCUUUUUCAUUGAUGUUUAUGCAUUAUUAGACCCCGGUGAUACCUUGUCAUUUGUUACACCUUUUGUGGCUAUGAAAUUUGAAAUGUUCCCCGAUGUGUUAGAAGAACCUUUCUCGGUGUCUACCCCGGUUGGUGACUCGGUAGUGGCAAAAAGAGUCUAUAGGAGUUGUCAUAUUUCUGUCUUAUAAAGUCACUUUGGUUGAUUUGGUAGAAUUAGACAUGCUUGAUUUUGAUGUAAUUUUGGGCAUGUAUUGGUUGCAUGCAUGUUAUGCUUCUAUAGAUUGUAGGACCCGAGUGGUCAAAUUUCAAUUUCCAAAAGAGUCAAUUUUAAAGUGGAAAGUGGGGGAUUCUAUUCCGAGAGGUCAAAUUGUUUCAUGUCUAAAAUCUAGGAAAAUGAUCUCCAAGGUGCAUGCAUCAUAUUGUUAGGGUUAUGGAUGUUGAGUCCAAGGUGCCUUCUUUAGAGUCGGUCCCCGUGGUGAGUGAGUUUCCUGAAGUCUUUCCCGAUGGCUUGCCCGGCAUUCCUCCCGAAUGGGAAAUAGACUUUGGAAUUGAUCUUUUGCAGGAUACACAACACAUAUCCAUCCCUCCUUAUAGAAUGGCUCCAGCCGAAUUGAAAGAGUUGAAGGAGCAACUCAAGGACUUUUUAGACAAGGGUUUUAUUCAACCAAGCAUCUCUCCAUGGGGUGCUCCGGUAUUGUUUGUGAAGAAGAAGGAUGGGUCCCUUAUGAUGUGUAUAGACUACCGUCAAUUGAAGAAAGUGACUAUAAAGAAGAAGUAUCCUCUCCCUACAAUUGACGAUUUGUUUGAUCAACUUCAAGGGGCUAACUAUUUCUCCAAAUUAGAUCUUCGUUCGGGUUACCAUCAACUAAGGAUAAGAGGGGUUGACAUUCCCAAAACGACUUUCCGAACUAGAUAUGGGCAUUAUGAGUUCCUUGUGAUGUCAUUUGGUCUAACUAAUGCCCCAAAGACUUUUAUGGACCUUACGAAUAGGGUUUUCUGGAAAUAUCUCGACAUGUUUGUCAUUGUGUUUAUUGACGAUAUCUUGAUCUAUUCUAAGAGUGAGAGUGACCAUAUGGACCAUUUGAGAGUUGUGUUGCAAGUCCUCAAGGAUAACCAAUUGUAUGCUAAGUUUAGUAAAUGUGAGUUUUGGCUAAGGUCGGUUGCGUUCCUUGGUCAUAUUGUGUCGAGCAAGGGUAUUAAGGUAGAUCCAAAGAAGACGGAUGCGGUCAAAGGUUGGCCUAGACCUCUAACUCUUACCGAUAUUAGAAGUUUUUUGGGUUUAUCCGGCUUCUAUUGGAGGUUUGUUGAGUGUUUCUCCUCUAUUGCUUCUCUAUUGACAGCCUUAACUCAAAAGAACGCUCAAUUUGUGUGGUCGGAAGCUUGUGAGAAAUGCUUCCAAGAAUUGAAAGAUAAACUCACCUCCGCUCCAAUUUUGACCUUACCGGAGGGUACCGAUGGGUUUGUAGUAUAUUGUGAUGCUUCUCGAGUGGGUUUAGGAUGUGUCCUUAUGCAACAUGGGAAAGUAAUUGCCUAUGCCUCAAGGUAACUCAAGAUACAUGAGAAGAACUAUCAAACUCAUGAUCUCGAGUUGGAGGCGGUGGUAUUUGCUUUGAAAUUAUGGAGACAUUAUCUAUAUGGGGUGCAUGUUGAUCUGUUCACCGACCACAAGAGUCUCCAAUAUAUGUUUAGCCAAAAAGACUUGAAUCUCUGACAAAGAAUGUGGUUAGAACUUUUGAAAGAAUAUGAUAUGAGUGUCCUUUAUCACCCUGGGAAAGCCAAUGUAGUUGCCGAUGCCCUAAGUCGAAUGUCCAUGAAUAGUGUGUCUUAUGUAGAAGAUGAGAAGAAAGAGUUAGUUCGAGAUGUACAUUGGUUGGCCCGGUUAGGUGUCCAACUAGUGAAUUCCACCAAGGGUCGUGUCAUGGUCCAUCAUGGUUCCAAAUCCUCAUUCGUGGUUGAUGCGAAGUUCAAGCAACACAUUGAUCCUAUAUUAAUGGAGUUGAAAGAAUCGGUACUCAACAAGUCCGUUGAGGCUUUCUCCCAAGAGGGAGAUGGGGUGCUUAGGUACCAAGGUAGAUUAUGUGCUCCGGAUAUUGAUGGCUUAAGAGAACAAAUUUGAAGAGACUCAUGGUUCGCGAUAUUCUAUUCAUCCGGGAGCCACCAAGACGUACCGUGACCUACGGGAAGUCAUUGGUGGAAUGAUAUGAAGAAGGAUAUAGUGGGUUUUGUAGCCAAAUGUCCAAAUUGCCAACAAGUUAAGGCCGAGCAUCAAAGGCCCGGAGGGUUGUCCCAAGAUAUAGAUAUUCCCACUUGGAAGUGGGAGGAUUUGAAUAUGGAUUUUGUUGCGGGGUUUCCUCAUACUCUAAGGCAACAUGAUUCUAUUUGGGUCAUUAUUGAUAAAAUGACAAAGUCCGCCCACUUUAUUCCCGUCAAUGUUUCUUAUUUGGCAGAAGAAUAUGCCAAGUUGUACAUCAAUGAGAUAGUGAAGUUGCAUGUGGCUCCCUUAUCUAUCAUUUCAGAUCAGGGUGAUCAAUUUACUUCACACUUUUGGAAGGCAUUCCAAAAAGGGCUUGGUACCAAUGUUAGGCUUAGCAUCGCUUUUCACCUUCAAACGGAGGGUUAAGAGGAACGCACCAUUCAAACCUUAGAGUACAUGUUGAGGGCAUAUGUGAUUGACUUCAAGGGUAGUUGGGAUGAACAUAUUCCAUUGAUAGAGUUUGCCUACAAUAAUAGUUACCACUCAAGUAUUGUCAUGGCACCGUUUUAAGCAUUGUAUGGUAGGAGGUGUAGAUCUACGGUUGGUUGGUUUGAGGUAGGUGAAUUUGCUCUAGUUGGUCUCGAAUUAGUCUAUUAGGCCAUUGAAAAGGUUCGCCUCAUUAGAGAGAGGUUGAAGACGGCCAAAGUCGGCAAAAGUCUUAUGUCGAUGUUAGAAAGAGGGAUCUAGAAUUUGAGAUUGGUGAUUGGGUCUACUUGAAAAUCUCACCUAUGAAAGGUGUGAUGAGAUUUGGUAAGAAGGGGAAGCUUCCCAUAUCAAAUCUUGAAGCGUAUUGGGAAGGGUGCUUAUGAAUUAGACUUCCCAAGUGAGUUGGCUGCAGUUCAGCCGGUGUUUCAUGUUUCCAUGCUCAAAAAGUGCAUUGGUGAUCCGGUAUCAAUCAUUCCUUUAGAGGGUUUAGGAGUUGAUGAGAAUCUUUCCUAUGAGGAAGUUUCGGUAGAGAUUUUGGGCUGGGAAGUUAAGAGGUUGAGAAACAAAAAAGUAUAUUCGAUUAAGGUCUUAUGGAGGAAUCACUUAGUUGAGGCCGUGGCCAACAUGAAGUCCCGCUAUCCUCAUAUUUUUCCUUCUACUCCUAUUACAACUUGAGGUAAGUAGUUUCUUGAGUUUGGUAUUUUGGAAGUCAUAUGUGCUAUAAGUGUUCUCUAUGAUUUCCUUAUGUUGUGAAUGUUCUUGUGAGAAUUCAUGUUUAGCGUAAAUUGAGUUUUCAUGAUUUAUAUGUUCCUCAUGUUGAGUUGCAUUUUUAGUAUGAUGAUUGCAUAUUUGACUUCAUGAGGUGAAUUGAUGAACAUGCUUAGUUAUGAUUUUGAUGAAAUGAUAUGUUGGAUCUAUAUUCUUUUGUUGAGCUUGCUUUGAGUUGGAGAAGGUAGUCCCUCCUAUGUUAAUAUGAAAUGAUAAAUAUUGUGCAUAAUGGGUUGUAGAUGUAGUUUCCUACUUCCUUGUGAUUCCAUUGAUUAUGUCUUGAGAUGGAGUUGAUGUUUCCUCCUAAUGAAUUGUUCGUUUUGUUAUGUUGCAUGCUCGUUAGGCUGCUAGUCUUGAGUCUUUACUUCUGUAAGAUGUCUAAAUCGUCAUUCGAGGACAAAUGUUCCCAAGGGGGAGAUAAUGUAACACCCCAUAAAAUGGUAGGUUCAACUAGAACCUAAACGUAAGGGUAAAAAUCAUAAAAUGACUCCCCGAGUGUUAGUAAGUCAUUUAAGGUUGAAAAAAGGACUUUUUGAGUUAAGGCCAAGGGGUAAGUGCCAAGGCAAAGGGGCCAAAGGCCAAGGCUGCUCCUUGCUAGGAGCACAUUGCUUCACCUUCACUAGAGGGACCACAACCCGUGGUCCACUACACAGCUCGUGAAGGGGGUCGUGAAGCUCCCUUGGCCAUGGGAAAAUGGCCACCCUUUGGCCUAGCCACUGCCUCAACUUCACAUGAGGGACCACGGCUCGUGGAGCCCUCUGUGAAGAAGACUUGGGCAAAGUGGCUAAAGGCCCCAAAAGGCAAGCUCACUGCCUCAAGGACCACGAGAGGGACCACGGCUCGUGGUCUUGACCACGUCUCGUGGAGCCCCUCGUGGUAAUGCCUUAGGCUUGUGAGCCUAAGGUAAUCCCAAGCCACUACCUCAACUCCACGGGUAUGACCAUAGGUCGUGGUCCUCACCAUGGCUUGUGGAGUGGCUCGUGGUGCCUAGACGGGAUUCACUAAAUGAGGGUCUUUUAAGUAAUUUCCUCUUUAGUCCAAUUAAAGUGGGGUUGUUUUGGGUAUUUUUAGGAGAAGUAUAUAAGUUGAUUUUAAGUCAAAAUUCAUUAUGUGGGGGUAGAACACCGGAUUCCAUGUCGCUCACAUGGUCUAUGUCGAUUAAGGCUAUUAUCCCUAUAUGAUACGAAUAUGAACUAUGGUAAGAGCAUGGACUUUAAUUAUGACUUCUUAAGAGGUACUACUUAGUAUGAGUGGGGAUAUGGGACUUCACUUACACAUUGCACAAGUAGACCUUAAGGGAGGUUGUGAUGAGUUCUUUUAUGUUAUGAAGACUUAUGAAAUAUGUAUGUAUGAUAUGUAUGAAUGUUAAUGUUGACUUUACUUGUUACAAGUUAUGAUCAUGAAUGUCUCCUUACUUAUGUAUAUUGGCUAUGACGAGGCCAAUGUAAGAUAUGUAUGUUGUUGGUGACUUAAAUGUGAUACUUGGCAUUUGGUAGGGUUAUUGGAUCUUACCUUUGCAUUGCACUAGUAUGACUUUGGGUUGCUUGUAUCUUGGUAUGACUUAUGUUUCUUCAUAAAUGUGCAUAAUGGUUUUCAAACUUGAUAAAGGCAUGAUUUCAACUAAAUGUCCCUUUUAUGCAUGUUUCAAUGAUUUUGUGCAUGGCUUCCAUAUUUAGUACUUUAUGUGCUAACCCAUAUUCAACUUUUUACUAUUAGUGUAGGUUCCGGUCAUUGAUACAUACUUCUUACUUCAAGUGAAGCUUGGGUUGAGUAUUCCCUAGGCUUGGUGAGUCCUCAAGUUUGCGGACAAGUUGUUAUCAUUUUCUAGUUUCUAUGUACUUUCUAUUUUUGAGACUUUAUUGAUGUAAAGGGCUUUGACCCUAUUUGUACUCCCUAUUAUACUAGAUGGUGAUUGAGACAAGGUCUACAUUCUUAUUUUCGUUUAUGAAAAAGAAGUUGACUUCGAUUGUAAAAGUUUUAAAUUUUUCUGCAUUAUUCUAUGAUUUAUGUGUAUGAUUAUGCUAAGGGCUUGUAUGCGACCCCUUCAGGGUCAAGUACGCCAUGUUACGUCUAGGGGGUACCCUAGGUCGUGACAAGAACGAGUGGUAGGACACCUAAUUUAACAACCAAAAUAAGCAAAUAAAAUUAAACCUAUUAUUUUUCAACGCGAAUAGCCAUUGUUUUUAUUCCUCUCAAACAAAGCCACCAAUCGAAUGGCGCUAACUGAUGUUUGCGUAAUCAAGACACAACUUCCAAUGCAAGUGUCUACGAUCGUACAAUAGUAAAGUAACCCAACCAAGGGUUGGGUUCGAGUCCCAAGGGAGUGGUUUUGAGAAUUAAUAGAAAAAUAAAAUUAAGUUCUAAUUAGUCAUAGCUAAAUAUAUUAUCGAAUAAGAAGAUGUUAAAUCUAAGGGGUGAGGCAAGCGUAAUUUAUCAAUGGGGGUUUGUCACAAAUAAACAAAAAUUACCUUAAAUAUAAGGAGUACUAAUCAAGGAGAUGGGAUUCUUGGGAUGUGAUAGGAAUACGGGAUAAACUAAACUAUUGGGGGUACAUGCUUUUGAUAAUAAAUCUCUUGAAUAUUUGUGACUAGGCUAGACUAUAGUGGGGGUAAACUCUGUCUCUCGAGCAACUUACCCCAAAUCAACUGGGUUUAUCUCGAACACCAAGUUGCCGCAUGAAGAACAACCUCCUCCUUAUCCCACUUACUCUCUCGAGCUGAGUGUGUGGGAGAAGGACUAGGCUUCACUCUCUCGAGCUGAACCUCAUGUCGACCCAAUCCCACCGGCCAUCAAUUUAGUAGUCUUAGUUUUACGACCUCUCUCUCGAGCAAGCUGAAAACAUAAAUGUGAAAUCGUAUUUGCAACUACAAUUUCAUUAAGUUCCACCACAACUACUAAACGAAAUCACAUCUAGACAACAAAUAAAUCAUCAACAAGCAAGACCCAACAGAUAAUUUAACCCAUAUUCACAAAAUCACACCCCAAGAAUUGGAGUUUUAGCUAGACAUGUAAAAGAGAUAGAAAUUUAUACCAAUAUGAGCUUGCAUUCAAAUGGGUAUGAAGAUUUAAGUCUCAAAACAAUCAAAGAGUGAAGAAUCCACAAGACCCAAGUCCAAAUUCUUGGAGUUGAAACACUUAGAAUCUUCUAGUUCUUUAAAACCCUAUCCAAACUUAGAACUCAAAAUUCUAUGUUAAAAAUUCUAUAUUAAAAAUAUUAUAUUAAGCUACCACUCUCAAUGAGUAUUUAUAGUUUUCAAAAAUAUGUGUUGCAACAGAUCAUUCGGCAUCGUUAGUCGUGAUCACCGAUCAACUCGGCGAUCCACCCUUUGGUAGGUUUUAUCGUCGUCUUUCUCUAUCCUUCAGCAUCAUCAUGUUUUGGAUCAUUGGGCGACAUUGUACUGCUUCGCGGAACUGCUUGGUGACACGCUGACUGCUUCUUUUCACCGCCGAUUUGAUCCUUUCUUUCAGGGUUCAGCACACUGGAACAAAAGGCGAGGAUAAGGACCGUUUGGUGACUCGCCGAACGGGUUCGGCAAUUCACAGAUCUUCAUUUCUUCGUUCUUUUAGCUGCCUUUGUUCCUUUUUGCUAAGUAGUGUCCAUGCUUUCCCUCAAACUCCAAAUACCUAAAACUUAACGGUUUUCAUCAGAUAUUGAGACAAAAUAUGCAUUUGAGGACACUAAUUUUAUACAAAAUACAUACCCUAAAUGAGUCCAAUUUGUGGACUCAUCAACACCCCAACUUAAACUUUUGCUUGUCCUCAAGAAAACUCGAGUUCUGGUGUUCAAAAUGGGUAACUCAAACAAUGCUAUACAAGAAUCAAUCAUAAAUGUAUACAACAAGACUUAACUUACUCAUGCAAGGAUCAAAUGUGCACUCAAAGUUUCAAGUGGUGACAUACCAUUAUCAAAGAAUCUCGAACUCAUAAUACUUGCUUCAAAUGCAAGUUCAAGCUCAACUAUAGUGUUCAAAUGCCCUCACACAAAGAAUGAUCCAUAUUAACACAAUGGUUCACAGUUUAAAGCUUCGGAAUCAUAUGCAACACUCACACUCACAAAGAAGAACACAAUGCAUAAUUUCACCCAUAGUUUUGCCCGUAUUUUCCAAUCAACAUUUGCUUCAGCUCACUCAAGAUCACAAAGGUCUUUCAAGGCUUGUAAUGGGGCUGAGCGCAACUGUAUGGUCAUUUUUAGGCUCAGUGACUUUCAUCCUCAUGAAAUGUGGUGUUCACAACACUUCAUUUCCUUUUCCUUCAUCAUUCUCUUUAGUGCUCAAAAGUCAUCCUAUUAUUCACUCUCCAUGGAUUGUUUGGAAACCCCAUUUAUUUUGUACUUUAUUCCACAACUUUCUUUUUCAUUCUUUUCUUCUCUUUUUUUAAAAAAAUAAUAAUAUUUGGAGGGGUUCCAUUUUUCUCAACACCAUGGGUUAAAGGAGACUUUCCUUGCACUUCUUGACUUGCCCUUAUCUUUUCACCACACCCCCAACUUAGGCUUUUGGCCUAAGUUGGCUGUUCAAUCAACCACAAAUCAAGAGGAUUAUAGGUAGUGGAUUAAGAGAGGUCUAGUUUUCAUCAAGUUUCUUCCAAAGAAAGAGAUAGCAUCACUUAGUUGAUCGGACCAACGGGGCAAAUUCUAGGAUCCAUCAUGCAUAGUUCACAGGUAAGCUCAUCACACUAGGCAUUGACACUAUAAGUGAAACAAGACUCCACACUUUCGCCAGUGUACAACGAUCAUCACAAGAGACUCGAUUUGAUCAUUGGCUAGUCACAACGAGAUGCAAAGAGUUCACAUAUUGUCUAUGCAACUUCAUUUGGCCUCAUUGUAGCCGCACAUUCAUGUUUAUUCGAUUAUAAGCACUAUCCAAGUCAUCGAUAUUGAUCGGAACCGAUACUCAAAUUUGUGAAGGAACAGCCACAUUCAACACACAAGGGGUAGCAAAUUUUUUUUGGAAGGGUCAAAAUCAUUUUGCAAUUUAAAACACGGAGCCACAAGCUCAAACCUUCCACUAAAUAGUGUAUAAAACACAAUUAUAGCUUACAACCCAAAUACAUAAACGAAACAUAAUUCACGAAUAACACACAAAGGUGGGCCUCACCCCACCACAAAUAAAAGAAAUUUGUCCUCAAAUGCAAGUAAUAAAAUAUCUAGAAUGUAAAUUAAAGAAAGACAGAGAAGGAGGUAAAGAGGGGAUCCUGUCUAUGGAGUCUCUCCAUCUGUCUGGGCCUCAGUGCCCGAUGUAGUACUCUGAAUAUGGGCAUCAGUCCCCGAAGUCACCUUAGGGAGAACAACGAUACCGGAUUCACCAAGGUCUGUUGAGUGUGUGUCUGCCAAAAAGAUAUGCACCACUCUGCAAAAUCCCCUGGCCCAUGAUAGAAUAUUAGGGUCCUGGGUAAUGGUCUUCCUGGCAGAAGUGGGCCUUUUGCCCUUGCCUUUCCCAAUAGUUGCGGUCAGUUUCGUAGCUUUGCCUUUCAACGUAGUUGUCUCCUCAUUUAUCGCACUCCCUUUUGACUUCUCUUGUGCUGGUUUUAUUCUUUCCACAACUUUUGAUUUAGUCAUGUCUGCAAAGUCUUGAAGAGAAGUUAGAAAAACUUAAACAAAAGAAAAGCAGAACUUAUGCAGAUAAACUCGCCAAACCAGAUGGCGAAUCGUCGAAUUUCUUAGGCGAGCUAGAUCAGGCUCGCCAAAGGAAUUAGCUCUAACACUGUAGCAAGAAGGUGAAAGGGGAACUUUUUCGGCGGGUCGCCAAUAGUUUUUGGUGAACCAGGAUAGGUCCACCGAAAGUUUCAGUGCAUAAAGGUUCAGGGGUGCAUAUAAAGGGCGAAAGAGAAGACUUUCAGCGAGUCGCCAAAUUCUUUCUACGACAUCAAGCUUCUCGCCAAAAGUUACAAAAUUAAUCAUCAAAUAUAGCAAGAAAUCAAAAGCGAGAUGGGAACAUUAGGCAAACCGCCGAGUGGUUUGGCGAGCUCGACCCAGCUCGCCAAAUGGCCCGACGUGCCUAUUUUCAACCCAACCUCUCGAAUUCAACCCUGCAACUCCCGAAAACAAAAUCAAAACAUGCACCAAUACAAUUAAGGUAGGACCCAUAACACCCAAACACAACCCCUCAAAUUUUAAUCCAAUUUAAGGUAUGCAAUUAUGGGAAUUCAAUAGUCAUAACUACCCGAGCAAGGAUAUCAAAUUAAAUCAUGCACGUAAACAAUCUAAUCCUCCCAGGGAGGAGUAGAACACUUCAACCAGAUUGUGGUAUUGCAAAUGAGUAUAGUUUAUGAUAAAUUAAACUUGGGGCAUAGAGAACUAACAUUUUGUGUCACUAAGGAGAGGAUUGAAAUACUAAGCGGCAAUGCAAUCCAAGUCCGAGCACAAUUUAACAACUAAAAUACUCUAAAAGUUCAAGAAAUAUAGAAACUAGAGUACAGGUGUGAGUUUGGGCAGAUAAAAAGGGAGGGAAAGUGAAUGAAGUUAAAACUUUUCAACCUUUGGCAUGCAAAAACCGUCCAGUUUUCACCCACUCGGCCACAUUAGUCAAGCUCGCCUAAUCACUCGACGGAACGCCGAAUGUUUAGUUUCCUCACCGAAAUUUACAUGUCCUCCAGUUAAUGUGGGGGUCCAAAUCACCAAUUUCCAUCGAGAUCGUUAACAGUGUCGGCGAUGCGCCAAUAAUUUCCUGGGCUCACCAAGUUUUACAGACUCCAAUUUGGAGAUUUCUUACAUUAGACAACAGAUUAGGUCGGGGUCACCGACCUCUUCGGCGAUUCACCGACUGGACCUAUUACUCACCACCCUACACUUUUUCGAACACUUUCCACACUUCGACUUGUACAAAUAACACACCAUUAUUUUACCACAACACAAAUAAAAAGCAUUAAGGGGUUUUGGGUUACCUCCCAAACAACGCCUUAGUUAAUGUCGUGGCACAAUGCAAGUUAAUGCCUUAGUUAAUGUCGGAAUUGGCCAUGGUGUAACUAGGCGAGUCUUCAACAAAUGGUGGAUAGCGACCUGAUAUUAACUGAUUUAUCUAGGCAUCUUGCAACUGAAUUGUCAUGGAGUUAGAGGUUGUCGCUUGAUUCAGCAUGUCGAUGUUCUCUUUCAUCUCAUUCAACAUCUUUUCUUGUUCUUCGAUCUUUUGUUGAAUGUGUGAGAGGAAUCCAUCAUCUUGUACGCCCUCCUUCUUCUUCCCCUUUGUACACUCUCGAAGGGAGAAAUGCUUGUCUUUAUUCAAAGCCUGUGCUUCCAACUCCAUGACUCUUUUGGAUAAAAAAUCCAACUGAGCUAGCAGUGCAUCCCCUUGUUUCUUUUUGGUCUCCUUGUUGGCUUCAACCAUGCCAUCUAGGAGUUCGGCUACGACGUCAUACGGCUAGUGUAGCAUACCACUCGUGAAAGGUUGAUCAACAUUACUUCUAUUAUCGGGUCCAAGACCCCUAUAGAAGCUCUCUAAUAGCACCUUGUUGGUCAUCCCAUGAGUGGGGCAUGGCUGCAGCACUGCCUGAAACUUUAGCCAGAUUUCCUGAAGGUUUUCAUCCUCUACUUGUUUGAAUGUUAGGAGGUUGUCCCUAAGAUUCAACAGUUUCAAGAGGGGGUGAUCCGUUUGAUAACUAUAAUGAUUAUUCGUACUCAUUAUCCUGCUUCUAUACACGAACAAACAAUACAAAACUAAAAAUUAAGUAAACUACGACUAAGAAGAACAAAAAUUCUACUAAUCUAAGAAUUCUCAAAUACACCACUCCCCGGCAGCGGCGCCAUUUUGAUGUUUGCAUAAUCAAGACACAACUUCCAAUGCAAGUGUCUACGAUCAUACAAUAGUAAAGUAACCCAACCAAGGGUUGGGGUCGAGUCCCAAGGUAGUGGUUUUAAGAAUUAAUAGAAAAAUAAAAUUAAGUUCAAAUUAGUCAUAGCUAAAAUAUUAUCGAAUAAGAACAUGUUAAAUCUAAAGGGUGACGCAAACGUCAAAUAUCAAUGGGAGUUUAUCACAAGUAAACAAAAAUCAUCUUAAAUAUAAAGAGUACUAAUCAAGGAGAUGGGAUUCAUGGGAUGUGAUAGGAAUACAAGAUAAAAUAAACUAUUGCGUACAUGCUUUUGAUAAUAAAUCCGUUGAAUAUUUGUGACUAGGCUAGAAUAUAGUGGGGGUAAAUUCUCUCUCAAGCAACUUACCCUGAAUCAACUUGGUUUCUCUCGAACACCGAGUUGCCGCAUGAAGAACAACCUCCGUCUUAGCCCACUCACUCUCUCAAGUUGAUUGUGUGGGAGAAGGACUAGGGUUCACUCUCUCGAGAUGAACCUCAUGUCGACCCAAUCCCACCGGCCAUCAAUUUAGUAGUCUUAGUUUUACGACCUCUCUCUCGAGCAAGCUGAAAACAUAAAUGUGAAAUCGUAUUUGCAACUACAAUUUCAUUAAGUUCCACCACAACUACUAAACGAAUCACAUCUAGACAACAAAUAAAUCAUCAACAAGCAAGACCCAACAGAUAAUUUAACCCAUAUUCACAAAAUCACACCCCAAGAAUUGGAGUUUUAGCUAGACAUGUAAAAGAGAUAGAAUUUAUACCACUAUGAGUUUGCAUUCAAAUGGGUAUGAAGAUUUAAGUCUCAAAACAAGCAAAGAGUGAAGAAUCCACAAGACCCAAGUCCAAAUUCUUGGAGUUGAAACCCUUAGAAUCUUCAAGUUCUUCAAAACCCUCUCCAAACUUAUAACUCAAAAUUCUAGGUUAACAAUACUAUAUCAAAAAUCUGAUAUUAAGCUACAACUCUCAACGAGUAUCUAUAGUUUUCAAAAAUCUGUGCUGCAGCGGAUCAUUUGGCAUCGUUAGUCGAGAUCGCCGAUCAACUCGGAAAUCAGCCAUUUGGUAGGUUUCAUCGCCAUCUUGCUCUAUCCUUCAGCAUCAUUAUGUUUUGGAUCAUUGGGUGACAUAGUACUGAUUUGCAGAACUGCUCGGCGACAUGCGGACUACUCCUUUUCACCGUCAAUUUGAUCCUUUCUUUCAGGGCUCAGUAUACCGGAAUAAAAGGCGAGGAUAAGACCUUUUGGCGACUCACCGAACGGGUUCGGCGAUUCUCAGAUCUUCAUUUUUUCAUUUUUUCAGCUUCCUUUGUUCCUUUUUGCUAAGUAGUAUCUAUGAUUUCCCUCCAACUCCAAAUACCUGAAACUUAAGGGUUUUCAUUAGAUAUUGAGGCAAAAUAUGCAUUUGAGGACACUAAUUUUAUCAAAAUACAUCCCUAAAUGAGUCCAAUUUGUGGACUCAUCACUAACUCUGGACCUAUAUCAUUUUGUAGGAAGUACACCUCCUUCGUCAAGCUGGUUAAGUAGGAAAAUUUAUAAGCAAAUUAUCCGAAGAACACUUGACAUGUUAAAAGAGUAACAAGGCAUACGAUAUUAUUUACGUCCAUUACAAAAUACAUAACUAACUUAAGAUUUUCAGAUAUAGUGUCAAUGAACUGAUUUUUUAAACUUUACUUAACUUUAUCAACAAUAACAAAAAGAAUUAAUAAACUUCAUCGUCAACUAUAGGGUCCUGCAUAGAGAGGACUUCUUGUACCCACUGUAAGCCAUAUGGAUGGGAUCCAUUCUUGACUUGCAUACAAUGUUGUGAAAGGAGACAAGGCUAGGUGAGGCGAGGUUGUAACACCUAAUUACAGUGAGGCGAGGCGAAUUUAAAUACGCGAUGGCGAUGCGAGGGGGAAACUCCUUUUAUUUGUUUUAAAAAAAAGUCUGACUUCAUAAUAUUAGUCAAAAUUAGGGUUUUCUGCAAACUUUCAUUCUCCAUCGCAGGUCACACCUGCCUCUUCUACUCUUCUCCUCAGCCACAAGUCGCGAUUGCUUCUUCUAUUCUUCUCCUUCAUGCGAGUCGCGUCUACUGCCAGGUAUGACUACGAGACCUCUUUUUUUUCUUCUUUCUUUUUGGUUCUUCUCUACUUCUUCUUCUUCUUCAAACAAUUCUCUUCUUCUACUUCUGCUUCUUUUCUCUUUUUUCUUUUCAAUUUUUCUCGUUUCUUCUUCUUCAGUCAGUCAGUUGAACAGUGAACUGAGUGCUCUGUUUUGUUGCUCACCGCUGUCUAUAUUUUUUUUUAAAUUAAAAUUUAAUCCUUUUAUAAUUAUUUCUCCCUUAGUUAAUUUAGUCUUAUACUAAUUAAUAUAGUAUUUAUUUGUUCAUAAAUAGUGAAUUCAAUGGUAUCGGAUGGUAGCAAAAAGAGGAACAUGGAUGGAAUUAUGGUACUCAAGGAUCAACAAAAGAUUUAGUUAAAUGUAUUUUUUGUGACAGUACUUUUAAUGGUGGUAUUACUCGACCCAAACAACAUUUAGUGGGUGGUUACAAAAAUGCAGAACAAUGUCCAUCUUGUUCUUCAGAGAUUAGAGAUGAAAUAACGGCUUUUAUGGAAAAUAAAAUGGCUAGUAAUCCGAAAUUUCAAGUGAGGCAGCAAGAAGAAUAUGUUAAUAUCGAUGAUGAUGAUGAUAUGGAUGAGUAUGGUGAAAUGAUGCCUCCCUCCAAAACUCCAAAGAUGUCUUCUACUGGAGGUGCAUCAUCCACAACACGAAACGUGAUGAAAGGCCCUAUGAAUCUCUAUUUUCCACAAAAAUCACAACAAAACGAAGGCAUUGAAAAAGGAGCAGGAAUUGAUGAAACCAAGAAAAUUCUAAGAGAGCGUGUGGUAAGUGCUUUUGCAUUAUGGAUGUACGAUGCAAUGCUCCCUUUUAAUUGUGUCAAUUACAAAUCAUUUGAUAAGUUCAUUGAGGCAGUAGCACAACAUGGCCCCGGAAUGAAGCCUCCUACAUUCCAUGAAGUUAGUGUUACCCAAAAAGAAGAGGUGAGUAAAGUGGAAAAAAUUGUUGAUGAGCAUAAAGUGCAAUGGACAAAGUUUGGAUGUUCCAUUAUGAUGGACAAAUGGACGGCACGAAAUGGUAAAAUGAUCAUCAAUAUUUUGGUGAAUUCUCCAAUCGGUAGUGUAUUUCUUCGUUCUGUUGAUGCUAGCAAUGAUACCAAUUCCACCAAAAUGUACAACUUGUUUGAAAGCACUAUUAAAAGAAUUGGAUCGGGAAAUGUUGUACAAAUUGUCAUCGAUAAUGCUAGUGAGAAUGUUAAAGCGGGAAGCAUGAUGAUUGGUGCAUACCCACAUAUUUAUUGGACUCCAUGUGCUGCUCAAUGCAUCAACUUGAUAUUUGGUGACAUAUUCAAGAUUAAUCAAUAUGCUUCCGGUAAUAUCACUCUCCUAUCCUCUAACUUUGUUUAUAGUCAAUAUUUAAUACUCAUUCGCUACUAAUUACUAUAAUAUUACUUUAAUAGUUUUUAAGAAGGCCAUCAAAAUUCAUUCUUACAUUAGUCAAAGGCCGUUGUUAAACUUGAUGAGAAGCUUCACCAUAGCUAGUCUGUGGGAGGAGUAUCAUGCAUGUGUUGAGAAGAUGAACCCCGAUAUAGCAAUACAAGAUUAACUAGUCGCUAUCUUCCUAGGUACAAAAUGGCGGAAGGACUAUUUGGUUGUGGUCAGGCUAAAAGAGCAAAAGACACAAGGUCACCGGGUAAGUGAGUUGAUUUAGCUCUAACUUAAAUUAUUUGACCUAUUUAUACUCAUUAACCUUUAAAUUUAUUUUAUUAUAGUUCAAUGGUGGUCAAUAUUGGUAGUCAAACACCAAACAUGCAAAAGUGAGCCAUGAAAGUAUUAAGCCUAACUUGUAGCUCAUCUGGAUGUGAGCGAAAUUGGAGUGUGUUUGAACACGUAAGAAAAAUAUUUUAUAUCCUAAUUUUCAUAUUAUAUUAUUAUUAGUAUCUAUUAGUUAAUAACUUAAUAACUAUAACUUAAGAGCGGAUUCAUUCCAAAAAGAGGAACGUGCUUGCACUAUCGCGUCUCAAUGAUCUAGACAUCUAGUGUACAUUAAGUACAAUAGAACAUUGAAACACCGUUAUGGUGCUCGUGAUAACAUUGAUCCAAUUCUCUUGGAUAACAUUGAUGAUUCAAAUGAAUGGUUAGUUGGAUUCCCUGAAGAUCAAGAAGAUGAACUAGUAUAUGAGGAAGGUUAUCUUACUUGGGGUAGCAUUUUCUAAGGCAAGUAGAGCUUACGAGAGUAUCUAUCAUCUUAGGGGACUUUUUUAAAGAUCAAGAGCACUUGACAAAGGCAAAGGAGUACAUACUACAUCUACAAGUUCAACUUCAAUUAGGACUCAGACUCUAAUUGAUGAAGAAUCCGAGGGGGGAGAAGAUGUGGAGCAAUAUAAUAAUGAUAUAGAGGAUGUUGAUCUUCAAGAGUUGAAUAAUUUUGAAGAAGAACAGACUUUUAGAGUUCUGGUAUUGCUUGUAAAUUGUCUUUUGAAUUAUUGGGUUUUUAAAGUUCUAGAUUUUUAGUAUCUACUAUUAGUUUUUCAAUUGAAAUAGUUGCUAAUAUAUAUUAUUGCAUUUGAGGUUUUGGAUAUUUAAAUAUGCAAUUAAAUAUUUUUAAUUUUUUGUAUUAAUUGGCGCCUCAAUUCAAACACGCGAGCGCCUCGCCUCUCACCUCGUCGCGAGGCGAGGCAGGCCCUUGUCGCCUUUUGUCACGUUUCGCUAUCCAAAACACUGCUUGCAUACAACCCUAAGUAAUUAAACAAAGAUUAUCUGAAGGCUCAUCCUCAGGCCUCAGUGAAGGCCCUUAUUCAAAAAAGAGAAUUAUCGGAAUUGUGAGACUAUUGGCCUUUAUAUCCUUUUAAUCCAGUCAAAAGAAAAUAUAAAUCUUAUUUUUAUAAGAAUUGGAAGAGGAAAAGGAAGAAUGAUAUAAACAUUUCCUACAUAUUGUUGAACAAUUCUAGAGUUUCACUAUGAGUUGGGUAAGUGAUUCAUUGCUAGAGAAACCAAUAAUGGGUCUACUUACAAACUCACGUUCACUAUAGUCAAGCUCGUAAUUUGAUUAUUGGUCUAGGCAACCAAAAAAGACCAUAGAAAACUAAGAAUAUACAAUCAUAAGAUAGCAAUAAAUCAAAUUUUGAAACGUAUGCAAAUAGAGGAAAAACCUUUCUCCUUUGACAGAAAGUACACCAGCUAUGAGAUCACUAUAACCGGAUAUGAACAUAGUAGUUGAAUGCACCACAAUAUCUACAAAACCAUGGACAAGUAAGCUAACAUUCAAUGCAUGUUAUUGGAGAGUAUUCCAGUUAGCUGAACAAAAAGAAUUUGCAAAAUACCUGCUCUGAGCUCCAAAGGAUGGGACAAUACUUUGGAGAUAAUGUUGUUAUCUACUAGCACAAGAGCCCCAUGUGCAUGAGCCAUCUUGGCAAUUUCUGUGAUGAGUCAAAAGAGACAACAAUAUGAGACAAACAAUCAUUAUCUUUUGAAGAUCUAUAGAUUACUAUCUAUCAGCAAUCGUAAAAGCUGAAAAUUGUACGUGCGUAGUCUACAUAUGCAAUUGUCAAUCACCCACAUGAAUAUCACAAAUUUGUUUAUAAGGGUUUGUUGGACUUUCCUGCCAAACAAGCUUUGUCCAUAGUUUAAUCACAAAAGCAACCUCAUCUAAGUUAGCGGUAUCCACUCGCCUGUACAAAUAAGAUAACAAUCAAGAUUCUAAUAACCUAACAAACAACGUAGUUACAUUGACAAUCAUGACUCAGGAAGUUGGGUCGUGACUCAGGAAGUAGGGUCGGACACAUAUAUACUUUAGUUGAGUUGGAUAUGAAACACUCCAACACACUAUAUCCUCGUCUUUCCGUUAGAUUUAGAGUAAGAGGCUCCAUGUCUAUGUUAUUUUGCCUAUGCUUCUUAUUGGUAGUUCACUUUUCCCCUAUCCUUGAGUGCGCUAGUGUCAAGCAAAUUGCUUAUGCUUCCAUCUCUUUAUGCAUUGCUUAUUCUUAAGGUUUUCUAUUAGAUGUGGUAUUCAAAAAGUAACAUUGUUUUGGAACUUAUAUGGUUUUCGUUCUCUAUAGAAUAUGGUUUCUGCCUUACCAAAGCAAAAGAAAUAGCUGCACAUUUACUAUUAUCAACAGGGAAAAAAUUUCUGAGAAGGCAAAUAUCAUUAGGAAGUAGUUUGAUAGGAAAAAAUGAUCACAGAAAAUAGAAAUUGAGCAUAGGAUGAAACUAACAAAAACUUAUUGUAAUGCUGAAGUACUUGGUACCCUAGCAACAUGCUUAAAGAGUGGCACAAAAUCAUUUAGUAAACUUAGCAUUGAUCAUACACCCAUAUCAUGCAAAUUGAUCAACAUUUAAACAGUAAGUCUCUAUUGAGAGCUUCAUGAUGGUAGGACAUUGACAACCAUAGCGCCUUAAUUUAAAUUCCCCAAAAAAUCACUUGUUUGAAAAUGUGAGAGAAGUGCGAUGACUUCCUUGGAUGGUCUAGAAGACUUGGAUAAAUGAGCUUCCCUCGUGAAUGGGAGGAUAAGUAUUCAGCAAUUUUUGUGCAUUCUCCUACAAGAUAUUGAAAUUAAUUAGCUAGAACACUAUGAUGUGCCAGAAUUUUACGAACCACCCAAACUUCUCUGGACAAUAUUAUGAUGGAGAUGUAACACUAUGCAUGCCAUAAUCAUUAAAAUCUAUAAGGUCAAGAAUAAUAGAUUAACAAAGGUGUAGGAAGGCAUAUAUGUUUCUCGAACGAGUGGUGGGACAACUAGUUUCACCACCAAAAUAAGCAAAUAAAAUUAAACCUGUUGUUUUUCAAUGCGAAGAGCCAUUGUUUUGAUUCCUCUCAAACAAAGCUAAAAUUGAAUGGCGCUAACCUAGGACCUUCAGCAUUUUGUAGGAAGUACACCUCCUUCACCAAGCUGGUCAUGUAGGAAAAUUUAUAAGCAAAUUAUUAGAAGGACACUUGAGAUGUUCAAAGAGAAACAAGGCAUCAGACAUCAUUUAUGUUCAAUACGCUAAACAUAACUAACUAAUGAUUUUCCGAUAUAGACUUGUCAAUGAACCGAUUUCUUAUACUUUACUUAACUUUAUCAACAACAACAAAAAGAAUUCUUAAACUUCAUGGCCAAUUAUGAGGGCAGCCAGUGCAUUGAGGAAAAUAAUUUUAAUGUCACGAAAUAUUGCACAAAUUUGUGCAUUACAGGUGUAUAUGAUGCUGCAUAGUAGUUGAAUGCAUCACAAUAUCUACAUAACCAUGGACAAGUAAGCUAACAUCUGAUACAUGUUAUUUGAGAGUAUUCCAGUUAGCAGAACAAAAAAGUAUUUGCAAAUUACCUGCUUCGAGCUCCAAAGGAUGAAAAAGUACUAGGGAUACAAUGUUGUUAUCUACUAGCAUAAGAGCCCGAUGUGCAUUAACCAUCUUGGAAAUUUUCUAUAAUAAAUCAGAAAAGACAAUACUAUGAGACAAAAAAUUAGAAAAGAUGAUACAAUCUCGGAAAUUUUCUGUAAUAAACCAGAAAAGACAAUACUGUGAGACAAACCAAUCAUUAUCUUUUGAUGAUCAAUCAAUAUAUAUUAUCUAUCCUCAUCAGUAAAAGUUGAAAACUAUACAUGCAUAAUCCACAUAUGACUUUGUCAAUCACCAGCAAGAAUAUCACAAAUUUGUUUAUGAGUGUUGGUCAGAAAUUUUGUGAAUGGUUUAAUCACAAAAGCAACCUCAUCUAAGUUAGUGGUAUCCACUCGACUAUACAAAUAAUAUGACAAUCGAGAUUCUAAUAACCUAAUUGAAAACAAAGAUACACCGACAAUAAAAAUUCUAAUCACUGUCCCCUCCGCGUUGGUGGAGGAGUGUUGCGUUACUUGACGUUCUGGAUACGGGUUGGCUUACCUACUGGUGGGCUAUAUUAGGUGCCAUCAUGACUCGGGAAGUCGGGCCCUGACUCAAAUAUACUUUAGUUGAGUUGGAUAUGAAAUAGUCCAAAACACUAUCUCCUCGUCUUUCUGUUAGAUUUAGAGUAAGAGACUUCAUGUCUAGGUUAUUUUGCCUAUGCUUCUUAUUGGUAGUUCAGUUUUCCGCUAUCCUUGAUUGCGCUAGUGUCAAGGAAGAAUUACUAUGCUUCCAUCCCUCUAUGUAUUACUCAUUCUUAAGGUUUGCUAUUAGAUGUGGUAUUCAAAAAUAAACAAGGCAUUACGUUUAAUACGCUAUACAUAAGUCAUAACUAACUAAAGAUUUUCAGAUAUAGAUUUGUCAAUGUACUAAUUUCUUAAACUUUAACUUUAUCAACAACAACAAAAAGAAUUCUUAAACUUCAUGAUCAAUUAUGUUUCAAUUAGAAAAUGCAAUGAGGAUAAUCAUCAGAUUACCUAGAAAGGAUACUUCACCAGUUUAGGCAGAUUUGCCAACUGUUGCAGAACCUGAUGACUAGAAAUCCUUCUUUUCAGUGAAGCGCACCCAAGAAGAUGGAGAGCAACAACAAAUAAAUGCAUACUAUUUUUAGAAGAAUUUUGACUUGUGACGCUACUUAUCUGCCCACGGUGUUUACCACCUUUCAGUUGCUGAAUGUCCCCAGAUUUCCACUCAAGUAAACUUAGUACAGUUGAUGCGACAACCAUCCCAAGUGCAUCCAAACAUUGUUUAACAACAUCAUUCUUCUCCUUAACCAACCUAUCAAUGGUUUAGAGCAAUUUAGAAUUGCAAAACAAUAGUGGCAACCACCUCUUCCCAUUCAUACAAAGUAGAGCCACAGAUAUGAGUACCUUUCCCUUCAAAACUUCACUUCCCUACUCAAUUAAUUAGAGUCAACAGAUGAAGAACAAGAUUCUUGCCUUUGACCAAGGCAAGAUGGUACCUUUCACAAAUUUAAUUAGGGAAAUUUGUGGUUGUCUAUUUUGAUGAUAUCUUGAUCUAUAGCAAAACCAUGCAUGAUCAUGUUGAGCAUUUGAAAUGUGUGUUUGAUGUGCUUAGGAAGGAACAACUUUAUGCUAAUCUUGAGAAGUGAUCAUUUUAUGUUGAUGAAGUUGUUUUCUUGGGUUUUGUUGUGAGCUCAAGAGGGGUGGAGGUUGAUGAGUCUAAAAUAGACGCUAUUAAGAAUUGGCCAAUUCCAAAAUCCAUAAGCGAUGUUAGAAGCUUUCAUGGGUUGGCUAGUUUCUAUAGGUGGUUUGUCAAAGGUUUUAGUACCAUAGCAGCCCCCUUGACCGAGGUAAUCCGAAAGGAUAAACCUUUAAAGUGGGGAGAGGAGCACGCCAAAUAUUUUGAGGCUUUAAAAUCCAUGCUUAGCUCCACUCCGUGGUUGCAAUUACCUGAUUUUGAUAAAAUGUUUUAGGUGGAAUGUGAUGCUAGUAAAGUAGGCAUUGGAGCUGUCUUAAUGCAAGACCAAAAACCCAUUGGUUAUUUUAGUGAAAAGCUAAAAGGUGCUACUUUGAAUUAUUCCACCUAUGAUCUUGAAUUGUAUGAUUUGAUUAGAGCAUUGGGUAAUUGGCAGCACUACUUGUGGCCCAACAAAUUUGUCAUUAGGACUGAUCAUGAGUCCCUAAAGCAUAUUCAGGCCCAAGGGAAGUUGAACAAGAGACACGCCAAAUGGAUUGAAUUCCUUGAAACUUGCCCUUAUGUAAUCCAAUACAAAAAAGGGAAGGAAAAUGUGGUGGCCGAUCCCUUGUCUAGAAAACAUGUGUUGAUAAAUACUUUGUCUUCUAAGUUGAUUGGUUUUGAAUAUUUGAAGACAUUGUAUCCCAUGGAUCCCGUGUUUGCUCAAAUCUUCAAAGAUUGUGAGGAAUGAGAGAGGGAAAGGUGGAUGAGUGAUAGAUCUUCUACUCCCUAUUCCAAGUUUGAUGGUUCUUGUUCAAGGGCAAGAGACUUUGUGUGCCUAUGAGCUCUUGGAGAGAACUAUUUUUGAGGGAGGCACACGAUAGGAUAUUAAUGAAUCAUUUUGCUAUUGAUAAAGCUAGGGGAAUUCAUGAGGAACAAUUCUAUUGGCCAAAAAUGCAAGGAUGUUGUUCGAAUUUGUGGUCAAUGUGUUGAAUGUCGAUGUGGUAAGUCACGCCUCCUUCCCCAUGGUUUAUACACUCCCCUCCCUACCCCUCAAAGACCUUGGCUUGAUAUUUCCAUGGAUUUUGUUUUGGGUUUGCGGAGGACAAAAAGAGAUAGAGAUAGCAUCUUUGUUAUUGUUGAUCGAUUUUCAAAGAUGGCUCAUUUCAUUCCAUGUCAUAAAUUUUUCUUCCAAUGUGGCAUCUUUGUUUGUUGAACAUGUUGUUAAAUUGCAUGGAAUUCCUCAAACCAUUGUAAGUGCUAGGGAUCCAAAAUUCCCUAGUCACUUUGGGAAGGAAUUGUGGGGUAGACUUGGUACCAAAUUGUUGUUUUCAACUUCUUGUCACCCGCAAACCGAUGGCCAAACUGAAGUUGCGAAUAGGACCUUGGGUUCUAUGCUUCGUGCUAUGGUGCAUGGAAAGUUGGCUUCAUGGGAGGAACAUUUGCCUUUAGUUGAAUUUUCUUAUAAUAGAGUUAUUCAUAGAACUAUUGGUAUGACUCCUUUUGAAGUGGUUUUUGGUUUUAAUCCCGCAACCCCUUUAGAUCGCACUCCUCUUUAUCAAGAUCUUGUGUUAAGCUUAAAUGGGAGCAAGAGAGCUGAAGAAAUGAAGAAGCUUCAUGAAAAGGUGCGGCUGCAUUUAGAGAAGAAGAACCAAGAAGUAGCCAAAAAGGGUAACAAGGACCACAAGAGGCUUUUUGUUUUCCAUCCCUUUUCCAAUCUUUCUUUUCUUCCUUCUCAUUCGCAUGGACAAAAGGAUCUACUUCAAAUUAGGGGGGAAAUUAUAUGAUCUGAUUGAAACUAGAUCAACCACAGAUUUUUGGUAUGAAUGGGUGGAGAGUGCAAGGCUACAUAUGAGAAGGAUGAAGCUUAGCAGGGGUGCACUCCUAUGGUUAUGCAAUAGAGUCAAAGAUGCUUCAUCCAUUAAAGGGAAACCAUUUAAGACCUGUAAAUGCAAAGAUGCAACUAUCAGCAUUUACUGUACCUUAAAGUACAAUAGAUAUGGAAAGUUUAUCUCUGUUGUCUCAGUAAAUGGCCUGGCCUAAACAAUGAUUAUUUUACUAGAAAGCUCAUUCAAUGAAGGAUAGGGGGACUUGUCUUAAAGAUAGGCAGGAGUACAAGUCUCUAUUACAGAGCAAGGAGGUCCCACUUCUAUGGGACUCAGGGGAAAUGAUAGUUACAAAGAAAUUAUACAAAGAAAGAAAUGGAGUGCUGGAGAGUAGAGCUUGACUCCUUUCUCUGAAGGAGAAAAAGGACCCCUUAGUAAAUGUUUGGUGGGGAAAUUCCUAGGGUGCGAUGAGAUAGCCACCCGGAGUGAGGUUAUGAGCUAGGCGAAAAAGGCAUGGAUGGGCAUCCACAAUCUGCAGAUCUAUGACAUGAAUUGAACUCAAUUCCUAUUUGAGUUUCAAUCGAGCCGAGAUAUAGAGCACAUACUCAUGGGAGAGUGGGGUCGAAAAAAUCAUCUUCUGCUUCUAUAAUGGUGGACAUUAACGGCAGAAUCUUUUUCGGCACAAACAAACUUUGAGUGGUUCUAGGUGCGUAUCCUAGGUCUACCAUUGUAGCUUUGGAAUGACAAAGUGAUGAAACAAAUUGGAGAUCUUUGUGGGGGAUGGCUGGACACGGAGGAAGAGACUUAAUUGAAAAAUCAUCUACGAUGGUCUCGAAUCCGAGUGCAGGGAUCGAGAGAGAAAAUUCCUUCUUCAGUGGGGCUUAAUGAUGGUGAACUCAUAUUUACACUGCCGUUAUGGGUUGAAUCUCCGGCCAGAUACCGGAGGAAGGAAAGGGAUGAGCCCAAUAAUCGAGGCAGCAAUAUGAGGAGUGAGAAAGGAAAGUCUAUAGAAAACCCUAAUCUACAGUUGAUAGAGAUAGAUGACAGAAUAGGGAAAUCUUUUUCGAAAGAUUGUCCAGUGGUCCUUAGCAAGGAAUCUGGCACUUUUACUAGUAGGAGCCACAUGACCCUUGAAGGAAAUGUGUCAACACAUGUGCAUGGAGUUGACCCAGACAGUCACAAUAAUUUUAUAGGGCAGAAAAUUUGUGGGAAUUGUUGUGGGCCUAUUAAAGCCCAAACCCGUGAUAGCCCAAAUUUCAUUAAAGGGAAAAGUGUUGAUCCCAUUUUAAAAUUUCCUCAAAUAAGUCAAGAAUACACUUUUUUUUCUCGAAAUUCUCCUAAUAACACAGAGCUGGAGUCUGUUAUGAGAAUGAAGAUCAAGAAAAUACAUGGAAGCCAGAAUUCAAGCGAAGAACAUGAGGAAAUUAACAUGCAGAGUGAAGGAAGAAGAGAGAAAAAUGACCUAAUUACCCUCUCUACGGAAAAUGCACAUGAAAAUCGGACUGGAGAAAACAAAGUCAGUUGUCAAUAGGACAUAUUAGAAUAUAUGAGGUGCCAGUGCCAAUUUGGAUGGAAGAACCUUUGUCGGAGCAUGAAAUCGAGGACAAGGCUACUAUCUGGGUGCAAACCAAUGUCCUAAAAUUUAGCAGGAUGUUUGGCGCAGCCUUUGAAGGAUGUGAUAAAAUAGCUUUUGACCUUUUUAUGAAGAUAGCUAAAAAAAGGGGGUUAUUAGAUCAAAAGAAGGAGGCGAACAAAAAAUACACCAAGUAGAACUCUAUUCCUAAAGAACUCAGGAACCUUGAAUUCCAUGUAAAUUUUAAGGAUGGGGAACCUAGAGGUAGGGGGAUAAUAACACCCCUGUUACUCAAAUGAAGAUAAAAAUCAAAUUUUGGAAUGUGAGAGGGUUGAAUGAGAGGGGGGGGGCGGGUAAAAGGUGCUUGGUUAGAGGUUUAACUAAGCAAUGGGGAGCUGAUGUUUAUGUCUUUCUUGAGACAAAACUGAUGGGAGGGGAUGCUAUUUUAUUAGGAGAACUUCAUUUAGAUGUUGUGGGAAGAAGUGGAGGGAUAGUGGUGAAGUGGGAUAAGAGGUACUAGAAGGGGGAGUUGGUAAGGGUAGGAGGGAAAAUGCUUACAUGUAAAUUGAUAGGCAUAGAACAACAUCUUUCUUGGUUUCUAAGUGUUGUCUAUGCUGACUAUAACAUAGUGAGCAGAAUGGAACUAUGGAAGGACCUAACAACAAUUAGAGAUUCUUGUGAUGGGCCAUGGGUUGUGUGCGGUGACUUCAACAUCACUAGGACUCCUAAUGAGAGAACCGGCACUCAAAGUCUAUUUGAGACAAUGGCAGAGUUCAUUGAUUAGAUUAAUGAGAUGGACUUAAUUGAUCCUCCUUUAUUUGGAGGAUCUUUUACUUGGAGAAGCGGGGAAAACCACACAAUGGCGUCAAGAAUAGACAGAUUCCUAUAUUCUAGUCGAUGGGAGGAGUUGUUUCAACAAAUCAGACAGAGUGCUCUUCCGAGAGUAGGUGCAGAUCACAACCCCUUCCUCUUGUAUUGUGGAUAAUGGACUCCAAGGAAAACCUAUUUCAAUUUUGAACAAUGGUGGAUAAGAGUGGAGGGUUUCAAGGAGAAAGUCAUAGAAUGGUGGACAUCCUUUUUAGCUUCCUAUAUGCUGGCACAAAGUUGAAGAUGUUUAAAGGUAAUCUAAAGGAAUGUGGGUUUGAAAACAGAGGUAACUGGAAGAAGGGAAGACAUCCUGAAUCAAAUAGCCAACCUUGAAGAAAUCCAGGAACAAAGACCACUAAAUGAGGAUGAGAUACUUCACAAAGUCAAUCUCACAAACGUGUUUGUAGAAGUGUCUAGGAAUAAGGAAGUAGCAUGGAGAAAGAGGUCAAGGGUAUAAUGGUUGAAACAAUGGGAUAAGAAUACCAAAUACUUCCACACAUUUUGCACAACCCACAGAAGAUAUAACACAAUUGAAAAAAUAGAAGUGGAAGGGGUAACUAUCACUAAACCAGAAGAGAUCAAGCAGAUGAUUGUAAGCAUUUAUCAAAAGCUUUAUAAGGAACCAGAGCAAUGGAGACCAUGUUUAAACUUUCAGGGAUAUGAAGGAGUCAAUGAAGAAGAGAAUGUUUGGUUACAUAGACAGUUUGAGGAAGAGGAAGUUCUAGAAGCACUCAAGUUGUGUGCUAGUGACAAGGCCCCGGGCCUAGAUGGUUUCCCUAUGAGUUUCUACCAGACUUCUGGGAAAUCAUGAAGGUAGAUAUCAUGAAUACAAUGCAACAGUUCCAUGAUCAACAUGUUUAUGAAAAGAGUUUGAAUGCAACCUAUAUAGCUCUAAUCCCUGAGAAAGUAGGAGCUGUUGAAUUAAGAGACUUCAUAUUUAUUAGUUUGAUAAGUGGAAUCUACAAAAUAAUUGCCAAACUUUUAGCAGAAAGACUUAAAAGGUGUUAAGCAAGCUAGUCAAUAAACAUCAAACGACCUUCAUCAAAGGGAGACAUCAUUGACGCAACUUUGAUAGCAAGUGAAUGUGUUGACUCAAGAAUUAAAGGGGACGAUCUUGGCAUUAUGUGUAAAUUGGACAUAGAGAAGGCAUAUGAUCAUGUAAACUGGAAAUUCCUGUUCAAAAUUCUAGAGUAGAUGGGUUUUGGGGUAAAAUGGUCUAUGUGGAUUGGCUUAUGUAUAAAAGCCGUUAGGUUCUCCAUUGCAGGUUUUUUCCGUCAGAAAGAUUACUCAGGCAGGGAGAUCCACUCUCUCCUUUCCUGUUCAUCUUAGCCAUAGAGGGUUUUAACAGCAUGAUGAGAGUGGCUAUUCAAAAUCGUUGGAUAAGAGGAUUUGUGAUUGGCUAUCUUUCAGGGGAUGAGAUGCAAAUUUGUCAUCUAUUAUAUGCAGAUAAUACAAUCAUAUUCUGUGAAGAAAAGGCAAGUUUGAUUUCAUUCAUAAGGAUUACGUUUGUGAUAUUCGAGGCAGUUUCUGGGAUAUCAAUAAAUUAGAGGAAAAGCUGCAUAUUUCCCAUUAAGGAGGUUCCUCAAAUACAAAGUUUGGCAACUAUUUUGCGGUGCAGAGUAGAGCAGCUUCCAAUGCCCUAUUUAGGCAUCCCACUGGAGACAAUUACAAGGAGUUAGAAAUAUGGGAUGGCAUCAUUGAGAAGACUGAAAAGAGAUUGGCUAACUGGAAAGCCCAAUACAUCUCAUUAGGAGGGAGAGUUACUUUGAUAAACUCUAUUUUGGACUCACUGCCUACUUAUGUAAUGUCACUGUUUCACAUCCCUUCUAAGCUGGAAGAAAGGCUUGACAAGCUAAGAAGAUAUUUUUUGUGGUUGGGAAACAAAGAAGUAAAUGGCCGACAUUUAGUUAAUGGAAGGUUGUACAACUUCACAAGCAGUCAGGUGGACUUGGAAUCAGAACUCUGAGAAUUCAAAAUACAUGUCUUCACUCAAAGUGGCUAUGGAGGUUUACCAGUGAAACACAUGAUUUGUAGAGAUAGGUGAUAGUAAGCAAAUACGGUAUGGAUGGAAAAUGGUGCUCCAACUUAGUGAACGACAUCUAUGGAGUUUCAAUAUGGAGAACCAUUAGGAAGUUGUGGCCUAAUCUAAUCAAAAUAUAGACUAUAAAGUGGGAACUAGAACCAAGACUUCAUUCUGGAAUUUGUCGCUAAUGUUUGGUCCCAACAGGAAUGGAACAUUAUGUUUAGAAGAUUCCUUAAUGAUUGGGAUAUUGGUAGAGUCGUUGCUUUAUUACAAAUAUUGGAUGGGUUUACAGGGACAACAAUGGAGGAAGACUCUAUUAGAUGGAGACAUAGUAGUGAUGGGGUGCUAUCAGUUAACAGAUGAUAUAUCAAGGAAGUGAAAGAGUUUCAAGGUGGUAAGAUUGGUCCCUCGAACCAGAUAUGGAAAACCAAGGUAACAGCCAAGGUGAAGUGUUUCUCCUGGCUGGUGGCAAGGAAAUGUUGCUCCACUCAUGAAAGAUUAAAGAAGAGAGGCUUUCACAUUGCUUCUUGGUGCUCCCUAUCUAAUGAAGUUGAGGAAACUAAUAGACACUUGUUCCUAUAUUGCAGAGUGACAACAUUAUUAUGGAACUUAUUUUUAGGCCUAACACAAACAGAGUGGACAAUGCCGUAACACACAACAGAUUUACUCAAUUGCUAGAUCAGAAGAGGGGGGAGUUUUACUCAGAAAAAAUGGUGGAGUAUGAUUCCAUCAUGCAUAUGGUGGUCCAUAUGGAACGAGAGAAACAAUAGGUUUUUCGAAAACAAGGCUAAUACUUUUGAUAAGGUUAAAUGGUUGGGUAUGACAACCUUUUAUUUUUGCUGUAAAGAAGAAGGAAUAGAUCAAAAUGCACAAAUUUAUAGAUUUUAUAAAAAAUAUGUAAUGUAGUAGUUGUUUUGUCUUAGAUUGAAAUGAUGUAAAUGUUUUGGAGGUCUCCAGCAUGUCCUUAAUGCUGAUGAAUACAACCUUACCCUUAUAAAAAAAAAGGGACCACAAGAGGGCUGUGUUUGAACCAGAUGAUUGGGUGUGGGUACAUUUUUGCAAGGAAUGAUUCCCCACUCAUCGCAAGACGAAAUUGAUGCCAAGAGGUGAUGGACCAUUUCCGGUGCUUGAAAGACUCAAUGUCAACACCUACAAGGCUAACCUUCCUCUAGAGUAUCAAGUGCAUAACACUUUCAAUGUGUGCGACCUGUCACAAUUCCCAACAGUUGAUGAUGAUGAUCCGUCGAAUUUGAGGACAAAUUAUUUUCAAGAAGGAGAGAAUGAUGUAAUCUGGAUACAUCAAUAUCAUACACACGGAGUCAAGCUCGAGACCUUCACAAAAUGCAAGGUUUAUUCAUAAAGUUAGAGGUCUUUGAGCUCAUGUUGAUGGCAAACAAAGGGUUCCAUGCCUUGAAGAUUGCUUGAGGAGAUGCUACUACUUUUGGCGAGCAGGAGCCAGUUAGCGCACCGCCCAAUGGCUUGGGAGAUGGCCCCAGCUCGCCUAAGGUUCCAGAACAUGGCUAGAGCGUGAACCAAGUAGGAACCACCGCCAAACCAGUCGGCGUACUGCCAAGUUCCUUAGGCGAGCCCUAAGGAGGUAGAACAAUGGAGACCUGAGUUGAGACUGCAAGAGGCUACAAUGAUCACUGAAGAAGAAAAAGUAUGGCUGCAGGGACUUUUUGAGGAAGAAGAGAUAAGGGUAUGUUUGAACUUAUGUGUAAAGGAGAAAUCCUCGAGUCCUGAUGGAUAUCCGAUGGUAUUCUUCUAGACUUUUUGGGCCCUGUUGAAGGAAAACAUCACCAAUACAAUUUAAUUUUUUCAUUCUAAUCAGAUUUUUGAGAAAAGUUUUAAUGCAACUUUUAUUGCUUUAAUCCCAAAGAAACCUGGAGCAUCAGAGUUCAAGGAUAUUAGGCCAAUCAGCCUGGUGGAGGGAGUCUACAAGAUCAUUGCUAGAUUAUUGGUUGAAAGGCUAAAAAAGGUGGUGUCUAAAUUGAUCAACAAACAUCAAAUGGCUUUUGUAAAGUGGAGGUAAGUCAUGGAUGCAACACUCAUUGCUAUUGAAUGCAUUGACUCAAGAAUGAAAGGAGGACCCCCUGGUCUAAUGUGCAAAUUGGAUAUUCAGAAAGCCUAUGAAAACUUGAAUUGGUCUUUCCUUCUGAAUACUCUUAGACAAAUGGGAUUUGGCAGCAAAUGGAUGAAGUGGAUUGAGGUAUGUAUAAAAACAGUCAAGUUUUUUGUCCUUGUGAAUGGGGAACCCGUGGGCUUUUUCGAAUCAGAAAGAGGGCUGACAUAGGGUGAUCCUCUUUCCCCUUUCUUAUUCAUUUUGGCAAUGGAAGGCUUUGAUAGUAUGAUGAGGAUUGCAACACAAAACAGAUGGAUUAGAGGCUUUCAGGUCGGAGAUACAGUGGGAGAAGAAAAAGAAGUGUGUCAUAUGCUCUAUGCGGAUGACACUAUCAUCUUUUGUGAACCUACAACAUAAUAGAUUAGCUACAUCAGAGUGAUUUUGGUUUUGUUUGAAGCAGUUUCAAGGUUGAAAGUAAACUGGGUAAAAAGUAGUCUCUUUCUGAUAAAUGAGGUCCCUCAGAUCUAGCAACUAGCAAAUAUAUUGGGAUGCAGAGUGGAGCAUUUGUCUACCAUAUACCUGGGAAUUCCCCUGGGUAGCAAACAAAAAACAAUGGAGAUAUGGAAUGGCAUUCUGGUGAAAACAGAAAAGAAACUUGCUAGAUGGAAGGCACAAUAACUAUCCCUAGGGGGUAGAUUGAUCCUCAUAAACUCUGUUCUGGACUCUUUGCCAACCUAUGUGAUGUCCUUGUUUCCAAUCUCAACAAAGGUGGUGAAAAAACUAGACAAGCUUAGAAGGAACUUCCUAUGGAAAAGAAAUAAGGAGGGAAAGGGUUAUAAUUUAAUCAACUGGAAGAGUGUUCUUCUUAGCAGAGAAAGAGGGGGUUUAGGGAUCAAAAAUUUGAGGAUGCAAAAUGAAAGACUUUUGAUGAAAUGGCUAUGGAGAUACACUGAGGAAGAUGCAACUCUCUGGAAGGAGGUUAUAGUAUCAAAAUAUGGAGAACUAAUCCCUGGUGUACAAAAAUCACUUCUGAACCAUAUGGGGUGGGGCUAUGGAGAACAAUCAGGAACCUAUGGUCACAAAUGGAAGGAAAUAUGUAUAUGAAGGUGGGUAAUGGAAACAAAACUAAAUUUUGGAAAGAUGGUUAGAUAGACCAAACGUCUCUUACAGAACUUUUUCCAGAUUUGUUUCUAAUCUGUGAGAACCCUAAUGCUAGAGUGAGUGAUUAUUGAAUAGAACAGGGAUGAGACAUAUCUUUAAGAAGACUACUUAAUGACUAGGAGGUGGUGAGGAUGGCGGCCCUACUGGAAAAACUAGCUGGAAUGAUUAUAACCACAACAGCAACAGACAAGAUCCUGUGGAAACAUAGUAAGGAUGGAGUCUUCUCAGUCAACAAUGCCUACAAAAGAGGAAUACUGGGGACGAUAGGGGCCCCAAAAUAUAAUUGGAACUACUUUUGGAAGAGUGACAUUCCUACAAAAGUAAAGUGUUUCACCUAGUUAAUGAUAAAGAGAGCAUGUUUAACAGAAGAAGUUCUACAAAAGAAAGGCAGACAACUGGUCCCUAGAUGUUUUUUUGUGCAACUUCACAGGGGAAACAAAUAACCAUCUCUUCCUGCAUUGUAAGUUUACUACUCAAAUUUGGAACUUGUUUCUCAACAUCAAAAGCAUGAAAUGGACAAUGCCAGAACAUACAUCAGAUCUGUUGAGCUGCUGGAUUAGGAGAGGAGGCAGUAAGAGUCAAAGAGAUGGUGGAAGCUAAUACCAUCAUGUGUAUGGUGGUCAGUCUGGAAAAAAAGAAAUGGAAGAUGUUUUGAAGACAGAUCCAAUUCCAUCCACAAAAUUAAAUGGAAUUGUAUAGUAUCUCUACUUUUUUGGUGUAAACAGCUUUGUAUAGAUGAUAUAGACCAGAUUAUAGAUUUGAUAGGAAAUCUGUAAUUAUCCAUUUUUGGAGGUGGCCAACAUACCCUUAAUGCUGAAAAAUUCAACUUUACCAGUUUAAAAAAAAAAGAGUUCCUUAGGCGAGCCCAACUUGGCUCGCCCUUUAUCCUUUCGGGUCACUUUUGUUCCUUUUUCACCUAAAACUAUAAAUAGCUAGUUUGGGUUCAUUUUAGACUUACACUAUUUUGAAUAUUGAUGUUGAAAACUGAAAAACUCAUGUUUGAGUGUUGAGAGCUUGGAUAAGCUUUUGUUGAUUGUUGUUUAGAAUCGUCAGUUCCUUGGGAUAUCGAUUCCCUUGAGGUCGUCAUAAGAGUUAGGUGCUAUAGUUGGAUUAACGAAUCGAGGUCUUAUGGUUUAAUAUACCCUUUGGUUGCUUUUUGUUUCCUGUUGCGUGUCUAUUUAUCUAUCUUUACUUUCUUGUAUUUUUAUUUCCGCAUUGUUUUGUGAUUCCCUUUUAGGAAUUUCAUCAAUGCGUCUUCUCUUUUUUGGCAACUCUUAAAUUUCAUCUUUUCACAUGACAUGUUUAAGACAACGAGAUUGAAGAACAUUUGGUUCAUUCGACAUAUCCUUAGUUUAAGUUCACAAGAUUUCAAAGUCUUCUUUACUUUCUUAAAAUCCAUUCCAAGUCAAAACAAGACAAAAAUUAAUAUGGAGGGAGUAAUUAACUUGAAAAGUUGCACCAAUAAGAAGUUACAAAAACAAAGAUAUCUGCCAACAGGAUGAGGGUCGUCUAUCCUCAGAUGGAGAUUCCAAUGGUUUAUUAUCCUGACCAUGGUCAUUUUGAGUAGAUAUAUAAAAUAGUAAUUAGCCCAAAGCAGCCAUGGAAAACCUUCUCACUUUCUCUUUCCUGUCUCUCAGACCAUCAGUUAGUGCACCUAAUAUUCCAGAAUUUGCCAGCGCAUCCCCAAAAAAAGUAGAGUCACGAAUCAACAAGCCAAUACAUGAAGCAAGUUUAACAUGCAACAGAGAUACCUUGGAGUCCCGAAAUAUUUUGAGUAGAACCAAUACAAUAGACCCAUUGGUCAAGUGUAUCAAAUGAAACUGAAGGAAUUGCAUUUGAACCUUUAUCUGAUUUUCUGCUAGGUAUUAUUACAGGUCUGGCUGAGAGAUCAAAUAGAUGCCAAAUAAUAUCUGAAAAGUUCGUAGAUGGUUUUGAGAUAUCAGAGAAAUAAUAUUUUUAUAAGAACUAGAAGAGGAAAAGGAAGAAUGAUUGAACUUCCACGUCAGAUUAUUGGUCAAAAGCACUUUCAAAACGCUUACCUUUAAUGAAAUUCCAAACAGUUAUGCCAGCUAUUUAACUUUUCCUUUGUUCACUUCAGGGCAAAAAGGAGGGAAGAGAGUGGUGAACUACCUGGGAGGAAGGUGUCUUUUAUAUAUCACUCAAUUUUCUUGCAAAUCCAAAAUCACACAGCUGCCAGGAAACAAAUAGAACUCCAACGUCAUAUAACUAGUCAAAAGCAUUCAUCAUUAUGUGGAAAAGUCGCAACAUAAAUAUCACCAUACCUUUGCGAUUCCAUUUUCAUCCAAUAGGAUGUUUGAUAGCUUUAAGUCACAGUAAAUUAUUCCCUUUGAAUGCAAGUAUCUGGUAUAGUAGACAAAAUACCAAAAAAGUAAUUCUUGCCAAAAACAACAAGUGUUACAAAAGAACAAUGAAGGCUAAAGUUAUUUACUUACAAAAGAGCUCUAACAAGGCCACAAGCAACUUCAUGUAUUGAAUAUUCAGGAAGCUUGCCAUCCUUCAAGCAGAGAUUAAAUGAUGUUAAAAAUCUCCCAGGUGUGGUUUAAACUAACAUACAGGUAAGAUGAUGUAGAUACGAGUUGUGACAUUACCAACUACAGUAAACUGGGGUCAUUUUGACUACUCUUUAAAUACAAAUAAAAAGAGAAACCUAUUUCUUUCACAUCAUUUUACUAGCAUUAGAAACAAGUUAGUGCAAAGAUUGAGAACCUUUAUUUGUGAGAAUACAAACAAUCAUCUCUAUUAAACUGUUCAAUCACACAUGACACUGAUGUCCUUAGUGCCUGUUUGGGAAAUCCCAAUGUAGGCAUGCAACAAAUUUACCAUGGAAAUUCAAAAUCCCAUGCCUCCACUAAAAAAAGACCAAGAAGAAUUAGGGUGUUGUCACAAAUUUUGGAUGUUCGUGUCUAAUGUCGGCAUAAGGAAUCCUAUAUUACAACACUGUAUUUAUACCACUGGAACAAUGAAAUGUAUUUAUAAGAUAGCAAAUCUGCCAGUGCUUACCUAUUGCAACAUACUUAUGAGAUUUCAUCCAACACAAUAUUCUAAAACCAACCACAAGUGUGGAGAUAUUUCAUACCUAUGGAUCGGUUGAUUAAAAAAUAACUCAAAUAAAUCUUCUUAUUAAACACCAAAAUGAUCUUUACCAUCGAAUCGGGAUUGAAGAAAAAGAAAGGAGUUACAUGCAAGAGAGGAAAAAGAAAUAUGAUCAUUUGUUCAUGAGACUUCAAAUUUAUGCCACGGAAUAGAAACACUGUGUUUUGACUCAUAUAAUUUCCAAUAAUCUCAUAAUUACAAUAGUCACAAGCAUCAACAAUCCUUAACAUCUAGAAAUAUGAUGAGGCAAGUUGUUUUAUAAGACCACGCUUACUAAAAUCAUAUACAUUCAUUCUGAAGUAGUUUAGUUGCUUUUGAAGAUUUGCAAGAACUACAAAUAAUGUUAAAACAAUUGAGUACGCUGAUCCAUUAGCACUGUAGAAUAGCAGGCACCAUUAGAAUUUUACCGCAACUCAAUGCAUAUAACUUACAAGAAAACCUGUUGUAAGUAAACGGUUUCUAAAGUCCAUACUGAAGAGGGUUCACGGAUAAUUACCCUGUAAUAUCACAUUUUCCCUCUAUAUCAAUUCCUCUAAAAAAGUUUACUACAAUUAAAAAUCAAUAAUAUUAUGAAGUUCUCAAAUUUCUAAGAGAGCUAUUGGGUAGCUAAUAUAUUUUGCAGCUUGGUUCCCAAUUAAAUCGUAAAUUCUCAUCUUCCCAAUAUGGUGGCCUAGCAAUCAAAUAGAUCAACUAACAGCUUGGGAACUAAGGUUCAAAUUAAUAUGAGAUAGCAAUAACAAAAUGAACAUGCAAUAGACUUGGAGAAAACUACCUUAAGUAAUUUUAGAUUCAUCGAUUUCCUCUUCAUCUUUUUUAGUCACAGUGAUGCUCUCCUAGCUCUCUAUUUUCUGUUUAUGGCUUUGAGCAUAUUUGGCAGUAAGUUCUUGUUCCUUCCUCUCAAUGUCGAAUUUAUUCAAAUUUCUUCAAACUCCUCAUCACAUUUUCAGCUCUUGACCUCUUUUUGCCUCAAGUUCACUUGGUUUCUUCAAAUAUCCUAAAUCAACUUUCCAUUUUAUUUUAAUGAAAAAAUGAAAAAAACCACGUUAAAACACGAACUCUAAACUAAAGCAAGCCAAAAUAACUACGAGAAGAGCCUCAAAUGAGUGGAACUCCACCACUCAUUAGCACCCCCAACUUAGAAACUUUGUUUGUCCUCAAGUAAAAAAAAUCAAAAACACAAGAGGCUCUUAUUUCAUUACACACAACAAAUCAAUUUCCCUUUCUCAAUUAAACACACAAAGGUAAUGGCUUCGGUUGGUAAUAACAAAUAUUCCACAUGCAAACUUUUCACAAAAGAAAUCCUCUCCUUCUCAUGGAACAUUUUCAAAAACCAUUUAAGUGACAACCACUCAAACUCAAGAAAUGACUCAACUCAUUAACUCUUUCGUAUGCUCACUUGACUCAAUUAGGAAUUUUCAAAAUUACAACUUUUUCAACUUACAUGCCAUCACAAGAAAGAAGUGUCCCAAAACAACACACACAUAUAAACAAGAUAAUGGGGCAAAGAUGCAACACUCACACUCACAAAGAAUCAUCUCAUACACACAUUUAAGUGACAACCACUCAAACUCAAGAAAUGACUCAACUCAUUAACUCUUUCGUAUGCUCACUUAACUCAAUUAGAAAUUUUCAAAAUCACCACUUUUUCAACUUACAUGCCGUCACAAGAAAGAAAUGUCCCAAAACCACACACACAUAUAAACAAGAUAAGGGGCAAAGAUUUAACACUCACACUCAAAAAGAAUCAUCUCAUGUACACAAAUGUCACAGCAUAGGAUUGCCCAUAUUUUUAAUCAACAUUGACUCACCUCCAUUUGGUUAGAAAUCUCAAAGGACUUUGGCAAGGUUGCAGUCUAAGCUUUGGGAAGGUAAGGAUAUUAUUUAGGUAUAAGUGACUACACCCUCCUUGAUCACUACACAACAACUCAUCAUUUCCAACUUUCUCCACUUUUCUUCACCUUUCAAACCCAUGCACAUUCCACACUAUUUUUCAUUUUUCUUUUCUUAUUUCCACUCUAGAUGUCCCACAUGAUACCCAUUUCAACUUUUGGAGGAUUCAAGUCUCAUUUAUUCAUUUUCUUUCUUUCUUUUCAAAGCCUUUUCAUUCUUUAAGACUUUCCAUCCAUCCUUUAAUUUCUCUAUUUUUUUUAUAUUAAGCCCUUAUGUGGUAAGCAUCCCUUCAAUGAAUUUCCUAUAACAACCCCAACUUAGACUUUUAGCCUCAACUUUCACAACCUCAAGUUCAAGGAGGAAAGGGUUCAAAAGAGGGUUACUUUUUCAAAAAGGAUAAGGCUUGUAAUGUGCUUGCCAAUAAAAAGCAUUAGGCUCAAAGGGGACAACUAAGGAUAUAUUUAGUGCAAAGGUGGGAUUUUUAGGCCAAGUGGACUUCAAUAACAUCAAAGAAAGCCUAUGAUCAUUUCUCCAACCAAACUAAAUCAAGCCCAACAUUUCAAGACCAACUGGAAAAGUUCUAGGUGACAAAAGCAAACACAAGGCAUUAUCAACAACCCACCACACAUGGCCUGCAAAUCAAUCAAGAUGGUUCAGAAUCUUACUUCCUUUUCAAAAUACAAGUAGCAUUGAACAUUUUAACCGCUAACGAUUCAAAAUUCACAAAACGAGUUGUAAGAGUUGUCACAAAAUCAUUCAUAACAUGCUCAACCUUUUAAAAAUAGAGAGGUAUGCUCAAAAUUAUUCACAUGCAUGACUAUGUUCUUAGCACCAACCAAGUCAAAACCUUCCUGAAUAGACUACGAUUUUUCCCUUAUAAAAGUUAACCAAUCCAUCAUCAGGCAACCUCAUGCAUAUCUUCCGGAAUGGUUACUCAAACUUCGCCCCAAUCAAUGCCAAUCAAACAAUCACAAGUAAUCAAUGAUUUACCCUUAAGGAAGUCGUCACUCUCUAUCCAUCAUUGGGUUUCAUCAAUUCAAAUUUUAUUAUCAAAACAAAAACAAAGAAGAUACAAACUACAAAUCAAAAACUAGAAUAGACCAAUCCAAUAACAUAUCAACAGAAACAUCCACAAUAUCAAAGUCCGACAAGGGCACAACAAUCCAUAACAAAGAAAGAAAAGUAUGCCCGAAAAGGAAACAAUCACAUUAUGCAGAAACAAUCAACAAAAUGACUACAAGGGUGGCAUCCCCAUCUCAAAAUGAGAUUGUGUCCUCACUUGGGGUAAAGUAAUCAUCAUAUUUUUAGGCACAUUUUUCCUAUAGGAACCUGCUCUCCUAAAAAACACUCUUCCUCCUCAAUUUCUGGAGCCAUUUCUUGAUCAUUCGAAUUGGUUUCGAAAGCCAUUUUUAGUUCCAAAAACCUAAAAAUGAAGCCAACAUGUCAAAAGUUCUUGUGGACGCUUGAAAAGUGUAUUAUGAAGUAUUUAAGCCAAACAAAUCAUCAAAAGAAGGUUCGAGCUAAGCUAUGCGAAGCUACUAUUUUGGGACUGCCAUCAUUGUCUCCUCCGUGUUCGCGGAGAAGUGUCGCGUUACUUGUCAUUCUGAGUACAAUUUGGCUGACCUACUAGUGGUUUAUAGUAGGUGUCAUCGUGACUUGGGAAGUCGGGUCAUGACACAAAUAUACUUUAGUUGAGUUGGAUAUGAAAUAAUCCAACACACUAUCUCCUUGUCUUUCUGUUAGAUGUAGAGUAAGAGGCUCCAUAUAUAGGUUAUUUUUCCUAUACGUCUUAUUGGCUGUUUAAUUUUCCGUUAUCCUUGAUUGCCCUAGUGUCAAGGCAGAUUGCGUAUACUUCCACCUCUUUAGGCAUUGCUCAUUCUUAAGGUUUGCUAUUAGAUAUGGUAUUCUAAAAGUUGUUGUUUGAUACUUCUAUGGUUUUCAUCCUCUAUAGAAUAUGGUGGUUUCCGUCUUACCAAAGCAAAAGAAUAGUUGCAUGUAAACUAUAAACAACUGGAAAAGUUUGAGAACGCAAAUGUCAUUAGGAAGUCGUUUGAUAGGAAAAAAUGAUCUUAGAAAAUAGUAAUUGAGCAUAAGAUGAAACUUACCAAAAUUUACUGUAAUGCUGAAAUACUUGGUAGCCCCAACAACAUGUGCCAAAGAACCUGUCAGAAAACUCAGCACCGAUUCUGCACUCAUAGCCUUCAAAUUGAUUAACAUUUAAAAAUGAAGUUUUAAGGGAGAGCUUCAUGGUGGCAGAAUAUCGACAACCAUAGUGCCUUAGUUCAAAUUCCCAAAAAAAUCACAUAUCCAAAUACCUGAGAGAAGUACAAAGACCUCCCUGGAUGGUCAUGAAGACCUGCAUAAUUAACCUUCUUCACUAGUGGAUGGGAAGAUAAAUAUUCAGUAAUAUUUGUGCAUUCUCCUGUAAGAUUUUGAAAUUAUUUAGUUAGAACACUGUGAUAUGGUAGAAUUUUACGAACCAACCUAACUUCUCAGCACAAUAUAAAGAUGAAGAUGCGGCAAUAUUCAUGCUAUAAUCAAGAAAAUCUAUAGGUUCAAGAAUAAUAGAUUAACAAAGUGCAAAGACCUCCCUGGAUGGUCAUGCAGCCCUGUAUAAUUGAUCUUCUUCACUCGUGGAUGGGAAGAUAAAUCUUCAGUAACUUUUUGUGCAUUCUCCUGCAAGAUUUAUGAAACUAGCCAAAAUUGAUUGUAAUGCUGAAGCCUCGGCAACAUUCUUAAAGAGUAGCGCAAUAACUGUCAGUAAACUCUGCACUGAUCCUGCACCCAUAGCGUGCAAAUUUGAUCAACAUUUAAAUAGUAAGUCUCAAUUGAGAGCUUCAUGGUGGCAGGAUAUCGACAACCAUAGCGCCUUAGUUUAAAUUCCCAAAAAAAUCACUUGUUUGAAUAUGUGAGAGAAGUGAAAAGACCUCCCUGGAUGGUCUAGAAGACUUGCACAAAUGACCUGCACUCGUGGAUGGGAAGAUAAAUAUUCAACAAUUUUUUGUGCAUUCUCCUACAAGAUAUUGAAAUUAAUUAGUUAAAACACUGUGGUGUACCAGAAUUUUACGAACCACCCUAACCUCUCUGCACAAUAUUACGAUGAAGAUACAAUACUAUGCAUGCCAUAAUCAUGAAAAUCUAUAGGGUCAAGAAUAAUAGAUUAACAAAGGUGCAUGAAGGCAUAUAUGUUUCUAGAACGAGUGGUGGGACAACUAAUUUCACCACCAAAAUAAACAAAUAAAAUUAAACCUGUUAUAUUUCACUGCGAAGAGUCAUUGGUUUGAAUCAUAUCAAACAAAGCUAACAAUCGAAUGGCGCUAACCCUGGACCUUCAGCAUUUUGUAGGAAGUACACCUCCUUCGUCAAGCUUGCCAAGUAGGAAAAUUUAGGGAAAAGGGUCAAAAAUACCCUCAACUUUGUUUUAUUGGUUGACUAAGCCCUUGCCGUGAAAAUGAAGUUAGGUUUACCCCUACCGUUACUAAUUUAACCAUAUAUACACCUCAUUUGACGAAAAGUCCGAAAUUGACUCAAAUUAACCAAUUUGAAUUGAAAUUACCCGAUUUCCUAUUUUUGACCCAAAUUCGAAUCCAACCCACAAACCAAAACUCAUGAACAAAUUAAAUCCCAAAAUCAAUUUCUUCUUCUUCUUCCUCCCUGAAUAAAAAAAAAUAUUUUCAUCUCCUUACUCCAUAUAAACAUCAUACAUUUGCAACAACAUAUAUUCUUGUGAGCCAAUAUUAAUGGUGGAUGAGAGUGAUGAGCAAUUGAAGAAGACUAUAAAUGCAAAUGUGGAAAAUGGUAUUUCUGCAAAAUCUAAACUUGGUUCUUCUUCUAGUGAUCAAGUUGAUACACAAACCUCGGAUUCAUCGAAUGGGGUUGAAGAAAGUGAUGAAGAAAUGUGGAUGGGGCAGUGGAAACAAAUUUCAGGUGAUAAAGAAGUUAAAUUUUCGCAAAAAUUGGGCGUUCCUGUUGUUGACAAUUACUAAUGGUUUUUUGUUUGGUGAAUUUAGAGAAUUGGAUGAUCUUAGUAUUUAUGUUUGAGAUAACUAUAGUUCCAUAAAUAUUAUGUUCUAAACUUGCAGCAAUUUCCAGUGAUUAGUUCCAAUUUGUGAAUAUUAACAGGGGUAAUUGCAAGUCAAUGAUUAAGUGUUCAUGUGUUAUGGAAUUUGUUGUAAUGAUUAAAAUUUUGAAUGCAGCAAUAGGGAUUUGAUCCUCAAAUAAUAAUAAAAAAAUCUUCCAUCCGCAAUAAGUGAAAUUUUUUUCAUCUUCUUUAGAUUUUCUUAUUUUUGGAGAUUGAUUUGAAUUUGUAAGGUUAGUAGUUGAUUUAGAUGAUUUAAAAUGAUAUAUUUGUUUGGGUUACUUUUUUGUUGGGUCGGGUGUGGGUUAGAAUAGGGAUGAUGAUUUUUUUUUUUUUGGGUAAUUUACUCUGAUUUGGGAUUUUCCGUCAAAUGAGGGAUACAUAUGGUGAAAUUAGUAAUGGUAGGGGUAAAACUAACUUCAUUUUAACGGAAAGGGCUUAGUCAACCAAUAAAACAAAGUUGAAAGGUAUUUUUGACCCUUUUCCCAAAAAUUUAUAACCAAAUUAUCAGGACACUUGAGAUGUUCAAAGAGAUACAAGGCAUCAGACAUCACUUACGUUCAUUACGCUAAACACAACUAACUAAAGAUUAUCAGAUAUAGACUUGUCAAUGAACUGAUUUCUUAUACUUUACUUAACUUUAUCAGCAACAACAAAAAGAAUUCUUAAACUUCAUGGCCAAUUAUGAGGGCUUCCAAUGCAUUAAGGAAAAAAAUUUCAAUGUCAUGAAGUAUUACACAAAUUUGUGCAUUAUAGGUGUAUAGGAUGCUGCAUAGUAGCUGAAUGCAUCACAAUAUCUACAAAACCAUGGACAAGUAAGCUAACAUCCGAUGCAUGUUAUUUGAGAGUAUUCCAGUUAGCGGAACAAAAAGUAUUUGCAAAAUACCUGCUUUGAGCUCCAAAGGAUGAAACGGUACUGGGACACAGUAUUGUUAUCUACCAACAUAAGAUCACCAUGUGCAUGAGCCAUCUUGGAAAUUUUCUGUAAUAAAUCAUAAAAGACAAUAGUAUGAGACAAAAACAUCAUUUUCUUUAGAAGAUGAAUCAAUAAAUACUAUCUAUGAUUAAUAGUAAAAGUUGAAAACUAUACAUGGACAAUCUACAUAUGCCAUUGUCAAUCACCCACAAAAAUAUCACAAAUUUGUUUAUGAGUGUUGGUCACAAAUUUUGUGAAUGGUUUAAUCACAGAAGCAACCUCAUCUAAGUUAGUGGUAUCCACUUGCCUAUACAAAUAAGAUGACAAUCAAGAUUCUAAUAACCUAAUUGAAAAAAAAGAUACAACGACAAUAAAGAUUCAAAUCAUUGUCCCCUCCGCGUUGGUGGAGGAGUGCUGCGUUACUUGACGUUCUGGGUAAGGGUUUGCUUACCUAUUGGUGGGCUACAGUAGGUGCUAUCGUGACUCGGGAAGUUGGGUCCUGACUCAAAUAUACUUUAGUUGAGUUGGAUAUGAAACAGUCCAACACACUAUCUCCUCGUCUUUCUAUUAGAUUUAGAGUAAAAGGCUCCAUGUCUAGGUUAUUUUGCCUAUGCUUCUUAUUGGUAAUUCAGUUUUCCCCUAUCCAUGAUUGUUCUAGUGUCAAGGAAAAUUGUCUAUGCUUCCAUCUCUUUAAGCAUUGCUCAUUCUUAAGGUUUUCUAUAAGAUGUGGUAUUAAAAAAGAAACAAGGCAUCAUACAUUAUUUACGUUCAAUCGCUAUACAUAACUAACUAAAGUUUUAAGAUAUAAAUUUGUCAAUGAACUAAUUUCUUGAACUUCACUUAACUUUCUAUCAACAAUAACAAAAAGAAUUCUUUAACUUCAUAGUCAAUUAAGUUUCAAUUAGAAAAUGUAAUGAGGAUAAUCAUCAGAUUACCUGGAAAGGUAACUCCACCAGUUUAAGCAGAUUUGCGAACUGUUGCAGAACCUGAUGACUAGCAAUCCUUCUUUUCAGUGAAGCGCACCCAAGAAGAUGCAGAACAACAGGAAAAAAUACAACUCUUAGAAGAAUUUUGACUUGUGACGCUACUUAUCUGCCCACGGCGUUUACCACCUUUCAGUUGCUGAAUGUCCCCAGAUAUACACUCAAGUAAACUUGGUACUGUUGAUGCGACAACCAUCCCAAGUGCAUCUAAACACUGCUUCACAACGACAUUCUUCUCAACCAAUCUAUCAACGGUCGAGAGCAAUUUAGCAAUUCAAUAACAUAGUGGUAGCCACCUCUUCCUAUUCAUAUAAAGUAGAUCCACAAAUAUGAGUGCCUUUCCAUUCAAAACUGCAAUUCCCCGCAAAAUUAGAGUCAACAGAUACAGAACAAGAUUCUUGUCUUCGACCAAGGCAAGAAGGUACCUUCCAACACUUGGAAGUGUAUGACUUUUCAAUUGUCAGCCAAGCAAGACCUUGUUGUCAGCCUCAUGAUCUGCUGCUUUCCAAGAGCCCGAAAUAUGUAGCAUAGGUUAGUAAUGACAUCUUGGCUGGUGAAACAAGCUGACCAAAACCAUCCUUGACUGGAGAUAUUUUCAAUUGUCCUCAGAGCAUAAACUUGAGUAAUGUCAUCCUCUUCGUUUCGUAGAAGUGAUGAAACCAAUGAAAUUAUUGGGCUUGUAACCUACAACAUUAAUAUUUUCAUAAAGGAAUGUUAAGAUAGGAUGUGAGGCUUGGCAAUAUGUAAAGAUAGUACAUAUUGUAUGAUUUUAUCUUAGUUUUUCCACAACCCCAAGAGAAAUAUCUUAACACACUUGUUUAUUUUACUGCUAUAUAGUGUUGCAUUACAAUGGAAUUUCAAUCUUAUAAGUUCAUCCAGUUCACUAAUUAAAAGAUAAAUGGUUUUUAACCCAUUAAUAAGUAUACCAUUUAUAUCCUAGUGACAAGUUGCAUUAUUUCUCAUAAGAGAUGCAUUGGUGCUAGAACUGCGUUUCUGACAGUGCCUAUGCUUUUAAGUGAUUGAUCUUAGAACACUUAAUACUUACAACCUAAUUGCAAUAUAGCUUAGUAAUUUAUUGUGUAGAGGAUUUUUAACAAAUAUAACACUCCAUCCAUUUCAAUUUGUUUGUCCUACUUUCCUUUUUUGUCUGUUUCAAAAACAAUGCGUCUUCUUUUUUUUGGCUACUCUUAGAUUUAAGAACAUUUGGUACAUUCUACAUAUGUUUAGUUUAGAUUCACAAUAUUCAAAAGACUUCUUUACUUUCUUAAACUCCAUGCCAAGUCAAAACAAGACAAAAAUUAAUAUGGAGGGAGUAACAAACUUGACAAGCUGCACCAAUAAGAAGUUACAACAACAAAGAUACCUGCCAACAGGAUGAGGGUCAGUUGUCCUUUGAUGGAGAUUCCAUUGGUUUAUUAUCCCGGGCAUGCUCAUUUUGAGUAGAUAUAUAAAAUAAUAAUUAGCCCAAAGAAGCCAUGGAAAACUUUUGCACUUUCUCUUGCCUGUCUCGCAGACCAUUAGUUAGUGCACCUAAUAUUCCAGAAUUUGCCAGCUCAUCCCCAAAAAAAGUAGAGUGAAGAAUCAACAAGCCAAUAAGUUAAGCAAGUUGAGCAUGCAACAGAAAAACCUUGGAGUGACGAAGGAUUUUGACUAGAACCUACACAAUAGAGUCAUUGGUCAAGAUGUUGGCUGCAUCAGCAUUGCUGCUCAAAAAGCUCAAGGUAUCUGAUCACAUUUUGCUUCUCCCAUGAGGGAAUAUUCCCAUUAAUAAUGAUGAUUCUACUAUUCUUUUGCUCCUUUGAAAUUUUGAUAAAAUUAGAUAGUUGAGGUGGUGCGUAAAAUGAAAGUGAAGGAAUUGCAUCUGAACCUUUAUCUAAUUUUCUGCGAGGCAUUACAGGUGAGACUGAGAAAUUAGAUGGAUGCCAAAUAAUAUCUGAAAGGUUCAUAGAUGGUUUUGAGAUAUCAGAGAAAUCAUUUUUUAUAAGAACUACAAGACGAAAAGGAAGGAUGAUUGAACUUUAACGUCAUAUAACUGGUAGGAAGGUGCUUUUUAUAUAUCACUCAAUUUUCUUGCUAAUCCAAAAUAACACAGCUGCCAGGAAACAAAUAGAACUUUAAUGUCAUAUAACUGGUAAAAAGCACUCAUCGUGAUGUGGAAAAGUCACAACAUGAAGAUCACCAUACUUUCGUGAUUCCAUUUUCAUCCAACAGGAUGUUUGAUAGCUUUAAGUCACAGUAAAUUAUUCCCUUUGAAUGCAAGUAUCUGGCAUAGUAGACAAAACACCAAAAAAUAAUUCAUGCCGAAAACAACAAGUGUUACAAAAGAACAAUGAAGGCUAAAGUUACUAACUUACAAAAGAGCUCUAACAAGGCCACAAGCAAGUUUGUGUGUUGAAUAUUCAGGAAGCUUACGAUCUUCAACCAGAGAUUAAAAGAUAUUAAAAUCUCCCAGGUGUGGUUUAAACUAAAAUACAGGUAAGAUGAUGCAGAUGCAAGUUGUUACAUUACCAACUACAGUAAACAGGGUCAUUUUGACUACUCUUUAAAUACAAAUAAAAAAAGCAAAAGAGCUCUAACAAGGCCACAAGCAAGUUUGUGUGUUGAAUAUUCAGGAAGCUUACGAUCUUCAACCAGAGAUUAAAAGAUAUUAAAAUCUCCCAGGUGUGGUUUAAACUAAAAUACAGGUAAGAUGAUGCAGAUGCAAGUUGUUACAUUACCAACUACAGUAAACAGGGUCAUUUUGACUACUCUUUAAAUACAAAUAAAAAAAGAAACCUAUUUCUUUCACAUCAUUUUGUUGGGACAAAAACAAGUUACCUUUAUUUGUGAGACUACAAACAACUCUAUUAAAGUUAUCAAUCGCACAUGACACUGAUGUCCUUAGUGCCUGUUUGGGAAAUCCCAAUGUAGGCAUGCAACAAAUUUACCAUGAAACAUCAAUAUCCCAUGCCUCUACAAAAAAAUUGACCAAGAAGAAUUAGGGUGUUGUCACAAAUUUUGGAUGUUCGUGUCUAAUGUCAGCAUAAGGAAUCCUAUAUGCCAACACAGUAGUUAUACCACUGGAACAGUGAAAUGUAUUUAUAAAAUAGCAGACCUGCCAGUGCUUACCUGCUGCAACAAGCUCAUGAGAUUUCUUCCAACAAAAUAUUCUAAAUCCAGCCACAGGUGUGCAGAUGUUUCAUACCUAUGGAUAGGUUGAAUUAGAAAAUAUGUCAGAGAAAUCUUCUUAUUACACACCAAAAGGACCUUUACCACAGAAGCAGAAUUGAAGAAAAAGAGAGGGGUUACGUACAAGAUAGGAAAAAAAUAAAUCUCACCAGGAGUAGAACUUUAAUACAGUUUCAUGAUCUAUAGAAUGAAGAAUUCUGACCUGUAGCAAAUGUAGCCAUAGAAGAAUAAGUACAUGAAUAGAGGAAACUGAAGGAAAUAGAUUUUAAGAAAAGAGGUUGGGGUUUUUGAUCAUUUGUUCACGAGAAUUCAAUUUUAUACCACGGAAUAGAAAGACUGUGGUAUGACUCAUAUAAUUUCCAAUGAUCUAAUAACUACAAUAGUCACAAGCAUCAACAAUCCUUAACAUCUAGAUAUAUGAUGAGGCAAGUUGUUUUCUAAGACCACGCUUACUAAAAGCAUAUGCAUUCUGAAGUAGUUCAGCUGCUUUUGAAGAUUUGGAAUAACUACAGAUAAUGUCAAAACUAUUGAGUAAGCUGAUCCAGUAGCGCUGUAGAUUAGCAAGCACCAAUAAAAUUUUACCGUAAAUCAAUGAAUAUAACUUACAGAACAAUGUGUUGUAAGCUGACAGAUUCUAAAGUCCAUACUGAGGAGGGUUCACGGAUAAUUACCCUGUAACAUAACAUUUUUCCUUUAUAUCUAUUCCUCUAAAAAAGUAGACUACAAUUAAAAAUCAAAAGUAUUAUGAAGUUCUCAAAUUUCUAAGAGAGCUAUUGGGUAGCUAAUAAAUUUUGCAGCUUGGUUCCCAAUUCAAUCGUAAAUUAUCUUCUUCCCAAUAGGGUGGCCUAGCAAUCAAAUAGAUCAAGUAACAGAUUAGGAACUAAGGUUCAGAUUUCACAAUAGACGAUACUUGGUGAUAUCUUCUCAUCUACCUAAACCUUGAUGUGCAUAGUUAAACAGAUAGUAAUAUGUACUACAACAUACGGUGGCCCAGAUACUAAUGUUAUCAAGAGGAUAAAUUAGGCACUGCCACAGUUUUAUCAUCAGAGGUGCAAGAAAAUACAGCUAAGGGUCCAUCGAAAACAAUCUAAUCACUCUACCUCCAAAGGUAAGGAUAAGGUCGGUUUACAGUCUAUCCUACUCAAACUCCACUUUAUGACAUUAUGUUGUGUACGUUGUUGUUGUUGUAGGUGAAAUCAAAUUCAAACGUGAAGCUCUAGUUCCCUCCGCCAUAUGUUUUUUCAAAAUGAGAACCUUGUCAACAAAACAUAAAAUAGUAAUAACAGAAUGAUAGGCAAUAAUCUUGGAGAAAACUACCUUUAGUACUUUCAGAUUCAUUGAUUUUAUCUUCUUCUUUUCCAGUCAGGGUGAUGCUCUCCAAGCUCUCCAUUUUCUAUUAAUGGCUUUGAGCAUUUUUGGCAGCAAGUUCUUGUUCCUUCCUCUAAAUGUUGAAUUUAUUCAACUUUUCUUUAAACUCUCAUUGCAUUUUCAGCUCUUGACCUCUUUUUGCCUCAAGUUCACUUUAUUUCUUCAAAUAUCCUAAAUCAACUCUCCAUUUCAUUUUCAUGCCAACAUGAAAAAAAAACACAUUAAAAGCACCAAUUUUAAACUAAAGCAAGCCAAAAUAACUAUGAAAAGAGCCUUAAAUGAGUGGAAAUUCCCCACUCAUCAUCACUCCCAACUUAGAAACUUUGUUUGUCUUUGGGUAAAGAAAAUCAAAAACACAAAAGGAUCUUAUUUCAAGACACACCACAAAUCAAUUUCCCUUUCUCAAUUAAGCACACAGGUAAUGGCUUCGGUUGGUACUAACAAAUAUUCCACAUGCAAACUUUUCACAAAUGAAAUCAUCUCAUUCUCAUGAAACAUUUUCAAAAACCAAGAAUCAUUUAAGUGACAACAACUCAAAUUCAAGAAAUGACUCAACUCAUUAACUCUUUCAUAUGCUCACUUGACUCAAUUAGGAAUUUUCAAAAUCACCACUUUUUCAACUUACAUGCCCUCACAAGAAAGAAGUGUCCUUAUACCACACACACAUGUAAACAAGACAAGGAACAAAGAUGCAACAGUCACACUCACAAAGAAGCAUCUGAUGCACACAAAUGUCACACCAUAGGCUUCCCCAUAUUUUCAAUCAACACUGACUCAACUCCAUUUGGUUCGAAAUCUCAAAGGACUUUGUCAAGAUUGUAAUGUAGACUUAAGGAAGGUAAGGAUAUUAUAUAGGUAUAAGUGACUACACCUUCCUUGAUCGCAACACAACAACUCCUCAUUUCGAACUUUCUCCACUUUUCAAACCCAUGCACAUUUCACAAUAUAUUUCAUUUUUCUUUACUUAUUUCCACUCUAAAUGCCCCACAUGCAACCAUUUCCAACUUUUGGAGGAUUCAAGACUCAUUUAUUCAUUUUCUUUCUUUCUUUUUUUCAAAGCUUAUUCUUUCUUUAAGACUUUCCAUCCAUCCUUCAAUUUCUCUCUUCUUUUUGGUUUUUUUUUUUACAUGAAGCCCUCAUAUGGUAAGCAUCCCUUCGAUGAAUUUCCAUAACAACCCCAACUUAGGCUUUUAGUCUCAACUUUCACAACCUUAAGUUCAAGGAGGGUAGUUUUCUUUCUUUCUAUUUCAAAGCUUAUUCUUUCUUUAAGACUUUCCAUCCGUCCUUCAAUUUCUCUUCUUUUUUUCUUUUUGUUUUUACAUCAAGCCCUCAUCUAGUAAGCAUCCCUUCAAUGACUUUCCCAUAACAACUCCAACUUAGCCUUUUAGCCUCAAGUUUCACAACCUCAAGUUCAAGGAGGGAAGGGUUCAAAAGAGGGUUACUUUUUCAAAAAGGAUAAGGCUUGUAAUGUGGUUGCCAAUAAAAAGGAUUAGCCUCAAAGAGGACAACUAAGGAUAUAUUUAGCGCAAAGGUGAUAUUUUUAAGCCAAGUGGACUUCAAGAACAUCAAAGAAAGCCUAAGAUCAUUUCUCCAACCAAACUCAAUCAAGACCAACAUUUCAAGACCAACCG